rnacentral:lncRNA from 1 species
GGCCAGAAAGUAAAGCUUGUCCGACGGCCACCUUCAUGGAUAUGUUCUUGAAUUUCUGAUGGAGUUCACAUGAUGUUGACUCCUUGAUUCCAUCCACGGGGUAGCCGGGACCACCCUCUAUCAUUCUUUGUUCAUCGUCGGGCGGGGCCUCAGAUUCUGCCACGCUGCUUUUCCGCUUAGAUGGGGCGCCGGUAAUAUCAACUGCAAGAUCUUCCUGGCGCGGUACUCCUCUAAGCUCAUCAAUCUGCUUCUGUUGCUUGUUAAUCCUGGCAAGCAACUGGUUGAACUUGUCAUUCUCCUCAUCCUGAUGCUGCUUCUUUGCUCUCUCUCGGCUUCUGUAAGUGUCUUGGUCUCUGGCAAACCCAAGCCACCACGGGUAAGAAGGACCGAAGCCUCGCGUUCGUCCUCCAUGUUCGUCAUUGCCGAGGACCAGUGUCAGCAAAUCUUUAUGUCUAUCUGCAGUGAACUUUCUUUGUCCCUCCUUAAUUUCUUUCACUAUCCUUUUCCAAUUCUCCCUGGGUAUCCUAAGAUUGUCAUUGCAGAUGAGGUCCCCUGUUGUUUCGUCGUACGACCCACCAUGCGCAAGGAACCAAUUUCUUGCUCUCAAUUCCCACUCAUCACGGAGUGGUUCAGGUACGACGCCUUUAUCUAUCAGAUCUUGCUCUUUCUUAUCCCACUUUGGGAUGGCAGUCUCAUAGCCCCCUCGCCCCAGCUUGUGGUGAUAUUUCUUCUUGUCGGCAUUUAUCUUGUUCUUUUUUGAUAAUUCCUGGGCAUCUUUUGACUCUUUGUACUCUUGAAAUGCCUUCCAGUGAUUCGCCUGCUUGGCUAGAUACCCCACGAAUACUGGCACUUUCUGUGUCUUCAGAUAUUUUUUCCAUAGCUUCUUCUUCCAGCUACGGAACAGUACGACCAUCUUCUUCAGAGUCCACUGCUUGACUUUGGCCCUCAGUUUGUCUGCGGCGUCUUCAUUCUCACAUUCUGGCAGGUUGAAAUGUGACAUGAGAUCAUUCCAAAGAUUAUCUUUGUACCUUUCGGUGACAUAGUCACUAUCGGUUGCCCCUUUGCGCUUGUUCCACUCCCGAACGUUGAUCGGGACGUGAUCCCUAACGAGAACUCCGCAUUGCUUCUUGAAUGUGUCAGCAGCAUUCUUAGGAAGCUUGGGUUCGCCCGUAGGAAAUAUCACCUCAAAUGUGUAAUGCGUCCCUGCAUCCAACUUUCUAGUCGGGCCUCGUUUCAUAGUUUUGCUCGAUGUGGAGGCCUAAGAGGGAGAAACAUUCGUCAAAUGAAUGUAUAUGUAUACAAUAUAGAGCUAUCUCCAAUAUUUUUCACAUAUUACAAGUGCUUGUCGAACUUCAUAUGUAUACCUCGCCGGACUUCUCCUCUUCACCGGCUUUUCCAUCAGUGGAGCUAUCACCUUCUCCGUCAUUGGACCUAUCUCCUGCCCCAUCGGCUUCAUCUUCGUGUCGCUCGACCUCCAUUCCAACGUCCUGGUUUAGAUAUGACAACGGAGAUUCAGCUGGUUCAACGUCGGGGCCGUCUUUGAUUAUAUCUUCCAGAAGUUCUUCCUCUUCGAGGUUCCUGAUAUGUGGAUCCAUAUUUCUGCAAAAAACGGAUUCUCUUAACCUCUGUACCAAAAACCAAAGUAGGAGUACUUUUCCAAUUUGAGACUCCUAGAUUUCUGCAUAGUAUUCAAAGUAGGAGUACAUCAUCACUUAUAAGCUAAUACAUCAUCACUUGAGCAUUCAAUAAGCAAAACCAAAUCGUAAAAUAAAGUAGUAUUCAAAUUAGCAUGCAUUCAAUUAUAAGCUAAUACAUCAUCACUUUUGUCCGUACAUCGUCGAAUAUUAUCACUAAUACUCCUCGAAUACUAUCAUACAUAUAGCAUCACUAAUACAUCUAGAACCGUAGCGCCCGACGGGUAUCGGCGCGGGCGGUGGACACCCAAAGAGAAGGAACCAUCACAGGAUCAUAGCUCCAGUGAGAUCCCCGAAGAACCUGCCAGGUAUGCUCGAACCUGCCCUCCAACGCAACCAUGUAGCGACGGACGUGCUCAUCCUCCUCGCUGACACGGUGACAUACCACCUCCGCAGAGUCCGGAAGCCUCAACACCCUCACUGGCCCACGCGACCGCCACCAAACAAGGAUCGGGUCAACGACGGGCUGGCUCCUCACCAACCUACGCCCCCCGGAAGGUAGCACCUCCCAAUACCAGCCGGGCGGAGCCUAGUCCCGGACAGGGCCCCUCUGAUCAAGCAGGUGUCCUCCGCCGAGUCGACGACGAGGAUGCGGGAUAGGCAUCGUAAAAUGAACUAAAAAAAUAAACUAGUUCUAUUAAUUUUCUUGCUAAAAAUAAACUAUUAACACUUAAGCAUAUACAAUAGCAAAAUUAAACUAUUAAGACUUAAGCAUAUACAAUAGAAAAAUUAAGCAAAAAUCUAAGAAACACUAUUAACACUUAAGCAUAUACACUAUACAAUAGCAAAAUUCCUCCUCUUCUUAUUUUCAUUUUUCUUCUCCUCCUCUUCUUUUCUUCUCUUCUCCUCCUCUUCUUUUCUUCUUUUCUUAUACACUAUACACUAUAUACACUAUAGCAAAAUUCCUCCUCUCCUUAUACACUAUACUCUAUAUACACUAUACACUUAAGAAUAUACACUAUACAAUAUACACUUUUUCUUCUUUUCUUCUCCUCCUCUUCUUAUUUUCAUUUUUCCUAUUCUUAUUUUCUUAUUUUUGUUCAUAUUUCUUCUUCUUGUAACCCUAACCUAAUUCUAAAUAUUACUAACCCUAAUAAUCUAGCACAAACCUAAUAACAAUAGGAAUUAAAUGACAAAAAAAAUCUUUUUCUUUUUCUUCUUUUCUUCUCCUUUUUCUUCCUUUCUUCUAUAUAUACUCGCCGGAGUGUUGGGGAGGAGGGGCGGGGGGCUUACCGGCCGGAGGUGUCGACGGCGCGUGGCGAGGAGGACGGUGCGGAGAACGGCGCGACGGCGAGGAGCACGGCGCGGCGGCUAGGAGGACGGCGCGACGGCGAGGAGGACGGCGCGACGGCGAGGACGACGGAACGGCGGCGAGGAGGACGGCGCGGCGGCGAGGAGGACGGCAGACGGCGGCGAGCAGGACGGCGGGCAGCCUGACGGCGUCGGUUAGUUCGUCGCUGUGCCGCGCCAGGCAGGAGAACGAGAGGAAGAAGAAGAGAAAUGGACGAAUUGGGUUGGAAAUUUUUGAAGUCCCGCUUAUAUAGGUGGAUCUAUAGUCCCGGUGCGUGGCUCGGGCCGGGACUAAAGACACCCUUUAGUCCCGGGUGGAGCCAGGGACUAAAGGCCUCUUUUCGGGCAGACCAGGAGGCGGGAAGCAGGGGGUAUUUAGUCCCGGGGCGUGGCUCCAGCCGGGACUAAAGGGGGUCUUUAGUCCCGGGUCGUGGCUCCACCCGGGACUAAAGCCCCUCCUCGGCUGCACGAUAAGUUUAGUCCCACCUCGCCAAGCGAGGGGGAAAAACACUUGUUUAUAAGCCCCGUCGCAGCUUCUCCAUCGAGCUCCUCUCUAAAGCAGGCUUACGGGCCUAAACUUACUGAAAAUUGAAACUAUAUUCGAAAUUGUGGAUAAAAUUCAAUCUGAAUUCAAAGUGAAUUCAGGUCGAAUUUUGUCCAUGAUUUCUCAUAUAAUUUCAAUUUUUUUUCUACUUUCAAAAUUAAGUAUUUUGACUAUCCAAACUAUUAACUUAUUUUGUUAUUUUCAAUUAAAAACUAUGUUUAUUAAAAAUUCUUUUUGCAUAUUUGAGAAUUUGACAAAACUAUGAUAAUGAAAAGUGUUUCAAAUGGAAUAAAUAAUGCAAAACUAUUUUUUAUUUUCAUAAUUAAUAAUUUUGACUAUCCAAACUAUUAUCUAUUUUGUUAUUUUCAAUUAAAAAUUAUUUUUGCAUAUUUGAGAAUUUGACAAAACUAUGAUAAUGAAAAGUGUUUCAAAUUGAAUAAAUAAUGGAAAACUAUUUUUUAUUUUCAUAAUUAAUAAUUUUCACUAUCCAAACUAUUAUCUAUUUUCUUAUUUUGACUUCAUUUGGUAUAUUUCGUGCAUUUACUUAUUUUCUUGAGCUAGUUGACCCUGAAAUUGAAAAGCACUACAAAUGAACUCUGANNNNNNNNNNNNNNNNNNNNNNNNNNNNNNNNNNNNNNNNNNNNNNNNNNNNNNNNNNNNNNNNNNNNNNNNNNNNNNNNNNNNNNNNNNNNNNNNNNNNCAUGUCUGUACAUGCUAAGCUCGUCGAGUCAACCUAGGUGUUUCACGUGUGUAAAUCUGGCUUACACCCGUUGUAUGCGAACGUUAGAAUCUAUCACACCCGAUCAUCACGUGGUGCUUCGAGACAACGAUCCUUCGCAAUGGUGCACACUUAGGGGAAUACGUUCUCGAAAUUUUAAGAGGGAUCAUCUUAUUAUGCUACCGUCCUUCUAAGUAAUAAGAUGAAAAACAUGAUAAACAUCACAAUGCAAUCAUAUAGUGACAUGAUAUGGCCAUUAUCAUCUUUGCUUUUUCGAUCUCCAUCUUCAGGCAUUACAUGAUCAUCAUUGUCACCGGCGUGACACCAUGAUCUCCAUCAUCAUGAUCUCCAUCAGCGUGUCUCCGUGAAGUCGUCACGCCAACUACUACUAUCACUACUACUAUAGCUAACCGUUAGCAAUGAAGUAAAAGUAGUAAGCACAUGGCAUUGCAUGUCAUACAAUAAAUUAAGACAACUCCCAUGGCUCCUGCCGGCUGUCAUACUCAUCGACAUGCAAGUCAUGAAACCUAUUACAAUAACAUGAUCAUCUCAUACAUCAUACAUGCAACAUCACAACUUUGGCCAUAUCACAUCACAUGUCAAACCCCGCAAAAACAUGUUAGACGUCCUCUAAUUGUUGUUGCAAGUUUUACGUGGCUGAUUUGGGUUUCUAGCAAGAACGCUUUCUUACCUACGUGACAGCCACAACGAUGAUAUGCCAAAGCUAUUUACCCUUCAUAAGGACCCUUUUCAUCAAAUCCAAUCCGACUAGUGUAGGAGAGACAGACACCCGCUAGCCACCUUUAUGCACGGUGUGCAUGUCUGUCGGUGGAACCAGUCUCAUGUAAGCGUAUGUGUAAUGUCGGUCCGGGCCGCUUCGUCCCACAAUACCGACGGAAAAUAAUAAGACUAGUAGCGGCAAGCAAUAGACAAAUCAUCGCCCACAACCUUUUGUGUUCUACUAGUGCAUAGAAUCUACGCAUAGAAAACCUGGCUCGGAUGACACUGUUGGGUAACGUAGCAUAAAUUCAAAAAAUUUCCUACGCAUAUUCAUAUCUUCCUAUGGAGAGACUAGAAACGAGAGAGGGGUGAGUGCAUCUUCAUACCUUUGAAGAUCGCUAAGCGGAAGCGUUGCUAGAACGCGAUUGAUGGAGUCGUACUCGCGGCGAUUCAGAUUGCGGUGUGAUUCCGAUCUAGUGCCGAACCAUGGCACCUCCGCAUUCAACCCACGUGCAGCCCGGUGACGUCUCCCGCGCCUUGAUCCAGCAAGGAGGAGGGAGAGGUUGGGGAAGAUCUCCAGCAGCACAACGGUGUGAUGUCGAUGGAGAGACGAGGUCUCCCGGCAAGGCUUCGCCAAGCACCGUGGGAGAGGAGGAAGAAGGGGGCAGGGCUGCGCCAAGGGAGAGGGAAAAUGGUGUGUCUAACAGCCCCAAAACCCCCACUAUUUAUAGGAGGAGGGGAGGGGGGUGCGCCACCCCUAGGGUUCCCACCCUAGGUGGUGCGGCAGCCCACAUGGGAGAGGGGGGCGGCGGUCAGGGCAAGGAAAGGGGGGCGCCCUAGGUGGGCCUUGGGCCUCCCCUGCGCCUAGGGUUCCCCCUCCCUCCCUCUCUGGUGCGCAUGGGCUGGGUGCGGGGCGCGCACCACCACACCUAGGGGCUGGUUCCCUCCCGCACUUGGCCGAUGUAGCCCUCCGGGGCUUGUGGUCCCUCCCGAUGGGCCUCCGGAACCCUUCCGGUGGUCCCGGCACUUUGCCGGUGGUGCCCGAAACAUUUCCGGCGUCCAAACCCAUCCAUCCUAUAUAUCAAUCUUUACCUCCGGACCAUUUCGGAGCUCCUCGUGACGUCCGGGAUCUCAUCCGGCACUCCAAACAUCCUUCAGUAACCUCGUAUAACAAUUCCCUAUAACCCUAGCGUCAUCGAACCUUAAGUGUAUAGACCCUACGGGUUCGGGACACAGGCAGACAUGACCGAGACACCUCUCCGGCCAAUAACCAUAAGCGGGGUCUGGAUACCCAUGGUGGCUCCCACUUGCUCCAUGAUGAUCUCAUCGGAUGAACCACGAUGUCAAGGAUUCAAUCAAUCCCGUAUACAAUUCACUUUGUCUGUCGGUCUAGAACUUGCCCGAGAUUCGAUCGUCGGUAUACCUAUACCUUGUUCAAUCUCGUUACCGGUAAGUCUCUUUACUCGUUCCGUAGCACGUCAUCGUGUGACUAACUCCUUAGUCACAUUGAGCUCAUGAUGAUGUUCUACCGAGUGGGCCCAGAGAUACCUCUUCAUCACGCGGAGUGACAAAUCCCGAUCUCGAUUCGUACCAACCCAACAAACACUUUCAGAGGUACCCGUAGUGCACCUUUAUAGUCACCCAGUUAGGUUGUGACGUUUGAUACACUCAAAGCACUCCUACGUUAUCUGGGAUUUGCACAAUCUCACGGUCGAAGGAAAAGACACUUGACAUUAGAAAAGCUUUAGCAUACGAACAAUACAAUCUAGUGCUAUGCUUAGGAUUGGGUCUUGUCCAUCACAUCAUUCUACCAAUGAUGUGAUCCCGUUAUCAAUGACAUCUAAUGCCCAUGAUCAGGAAACCAUGAUCAUCUAUUGAUCAACGAGCUAGCCAACUAGAGGCUUGCUAGGGACACAUUGUGAUCUAUUUAUUCACACAUGUAUUACUGUUUCCUGUUAAUACAAUUAUAGCAUGAACAAUAGACGAUUAUCAUGAACAAGGAAAUAUCAUAAUAACCAUUUUAUUAUUGCCUCUAGGGCAUAUUUCCAACAGUCUCCCACUUGCACUAGAGUCAAUAAUCUAGUUACAUUGUGAUGUAUCGAACACCCAUAGCAUUAUGGUGUUGAUCAUGUUUUGCUCGUGGAAGUGGUUUAGUCAACGGGUCUGCAACAUUCAGAUCCGUGUGUACUUUACAAAUCUCUAUUACUCCACUCUGGACAUGGUCCUGGAUGGAGUUAUAGCGGUGUUUAAUGUGCUUGGUCUUCCGGUGAAACCUGGGCUCCUUAGCAAUGGCAAUGGCCCAGUGUUAUCACAGAAGAGUGUCAUCGGACCCGACGCGCUUGGAACCACUCCAAGGUUGGUGAUGAACUCCUUCGUCCAAAUUCCUUCAUGAGCCACUUCUGAAGCAGCUAUGUACUCCGCUUCACAUGUAGAUGCUGCCACGACUUCUUGCUUGCUGCUGCACUAGCUCACUGCCCCACCAUUCAAAACAUAUAUGUAUUCGGUCUGUGACUUAGAGUCAUCCGGAUCUGUGUCGAAGCUAGCGUCGACGUAACCCUUUACGACGAGCUCUUCAUCACCUCCAUAAAUGAGAAACAUCUCCUUAGUCCUCUUUAGGUACUUAAGGAUAUUCUUGACCGCUGUCCAGUGUUCCUUACCAGGAUCACUUUGGUACCUCCCUACCAAACUUAUGGCAAGGUUUAUAUCAGGUCUGGUACACAGCAUGGCAUACAUUAGAGAGCCUACGUCUAAAGCGUAGGGGACAGUACUCAUCUUCUCUCUAUCUGCUGCCGUGGUCGGUGACUGAGUCUUACCCAAUCUCAUACCUUGCAAAACUGGCAAGAACCCUUUCUUUGAGUUUUCCAUAUUGAACUUCUUCAAUAUCUUGUCAAGGUAUGUACUUUGCGAAAGACCUAUGAGGCGUCUCGAUCUAUCUCUAUAGAUCUUGAUGCCUAAUAUGUAUGCAGCUUCUCCAAGGUCCUUCAUUGGAAAACUCUUGUUCAAAUAGGCCUUUAUGCUCUCCAACAUCUCUAUAUUAUUCCCCAUCAAUAAUAUGUCAUCCACAUACAGUAUGAGGAAAGCUACAGAGCUCCCACUCACUUUCUUGUACAGACAGGCUUCUCCAUAAACAUGUAUGAACCCAAACGCUUUAAUAACCUCAUUAAAGCGAAUGUUCCAACUCCGAGAUGCUUGCACCAGCCCGUAGAUGGAGCGCUGGAGCUUGCACACUUUGUUAGCACCCUUGGGAUCGACAAAAUCUUCUGGUUGCAUCAUAUACAACUCUUCCUUAAGGUUCCCGUUAAGGAACGCUGUUUUGACGUCCAUUUGCCAAAUUUCAUAAUCAUAAAAGGCUGCAAUUGCUAACAUGAUUCGGACUGAUUUCAGCUUCGCUACGGGAGAGAAAGUCUCUUCAUAGUCAAUUCCUUGAAUUUGUCGAAAACCCUUUGCGACAAGUCGAGCUUUAUAAAUGGUCACAUUACCGUUUGCAUCAGUCUUCUUCUUGAAGAUCCAUUUAUUUUCUAUGGAUCGCCGGUCACCGGGCAAGUCCACCAAAGUCCAUACUUUGUUUUCAUACAUGGAUCCUAUCUCGGAUUUCAUAGCUUCAAGCCAUUUGUUGGAAUCCGGGCCUGCCAUUGCUUCUUCAUAGUUCGAAGGUUCACCGUUGUCUAACAACAUGAUUUCCAUCACAGGGUUACCGUACCACUCUGGUGCGGAGCGUGCCCUUGUGGACCUUCGUGGUUCAGUAGUAACUUGAUCUGAAGCUUCAUGAUCAUUAUCAUUAACUUCCUCUUCAGUUGGUGCAGGCGCCACAUGAACAAUUUCCCGCGCUGCGCUACUUUCCUGUUCGAGAGGGGGUUUAAUUACCUCAUCAAGUUCUACCUUCCUCCCACUUACUUCUUUCGAGAGAAACUCUUUCUCUAGAAAGGAUCCGUUCUUUGCAACAAAGGUUUUACCUUCGGAUCUAAGAUAGAAGGUAUACCCAAUAGUUUCCUUAGGGUAUCCUAUGAAUACACAUUUCUCCUCUUUGGGUUCGAGCUUUUCUGGUUGAAGUUUCUUCACAUAAGCAUCGCAGCCCCAAACUUUAAGAAACGACAACUUAGGCUUCUUGCCAAACCAUAGAUCAUACGGUGUCGUCUCAACGGAUUUGGACGGUGCCCUAUUUAAAGUGAAUGCUGCAGUUUCUAAUGCGUAUCCCCAAAAUGAUAGCGGUAAGUCGGUAAGAGACAUCAUAGAUUGUACCAUAUCUAAUAAAGUGCGAUUACGACGUUCAGACACUCCGUUGCGUUGCGGUGUGCCUGGCGGAGUCAUUGUGAAACGAUUCCACACUUCCUUAGGUGUGUGCCAAACUCGUGACUCAAAUAUUCUCCUCCACGAUCAGAUCGUAGACACUUCAUUUUUCUGUCACGUUGAUUCUCGACCUCACUCUCAAAUUCCUUGAACUUUUCAAACGUCUCAGAUUUGUGCUUCAUCAAGUAGAUAUACCCAUACCUACUCAAAUCAUCGGUGAGAGUGGGAACAUAACGAUAGCCACCGUGAGCUUCAACGUUCAUUGGACCACACACGUCAGUAUGUAUUAUUUACAAUAAGUCGGUUUCUCUCUCCAUUGUUCCUGAGAAUGGAGUCUUAGUCAUCUUGCCCAUGAGGCACGGUUCGCAUGUGUCAAAUGAUUCAAAGUCAAGAGACUCUAAUAGUCCAUCAGUAUGGAGCUUCUUCAUGCGCUUAACACCGAUAUGACCAAGGCGGCAGUGCCACAAGUAUGUGGGACUACCAUUAUCAACUUUACAUCUUUUGGUACUCACACUAUGAAUAUGUGUAACAUCACGAUCGAGAUUCAUCAAGAAUAAACCAUUCACCAGCGGAGCAUGACCAUAAAACAUAUCACUCAUAUAAAUAGAACAACCACUAUUCUCUGACUUAAAUGAGUAGCCGUCUCUCAUUAAGCAAGACCCUGAUACAAUAUUCAUGCUCAAAGCUGGUACUAAAUAACAAUUAUUAAGGUUUAAAACUAGUCCCGACGGUAGAUGUAGAGGUAGCGUGCCGACGGCAAUCACAUCGACCUUGGAGCCAUUCCCGACGCGCAUCCUCACCUCGUCCUUGGCCAGUCUUCGCUUAUUCCGCAGUUCCUGCUUUGAGUUGCAAAUGUGAGCAACAACACCGGUAUCAAAUACCUAGGAGCUACUACGAGUGCUGGUAAGGUACACAUCAAUACAUGUAUAUCACAUAUACCUUUAACGUUGUCGGCCUUCUUGUCCGCUAAGUAUUUGGGGUAGUUCCGCUUCCAGUGACCUUUUCCCUUGCAAUAGAAGCACUCAGUCUCAGGCUUGGGUCCAUUCUUUUUCUUCUUCCCGACAUCUGGCUUACCGGGCGCGGCAACGGCUUUGCCGUCUUUCUUGAAGUUCUUCUUACCCUUUCCCUUCUUGAAACUAGUGGUCUUGUUGACCAUCAACACUUGAUGCUCUUUCUUGAUUUCUACUUCUCCAGACUUGAGCAUCGAGUACAACUCGGGAAUGGUCUUCUCCAUCCCUUGCAUGUUGUAGUUCAGCAAAAAGCCUUUGUAGCUUGGUGGGAGAGACUGGAGGAUUCUGUCAAUUAUAGCAUCAUCCGGAAGUUCGACUCCAAGUGAAGUCAGACGACCGUGUAACCCAGACAUUUUGAGUAUGUGCUCACUGAUAGAACUGUUCUCCUCCAUCUUACAGCUAAAGAACUUGUCGGAAACUUCAUAUCUCUCGACAUGGGCAUGAGUUUGAAAAACUAGUUUCAGCUCUUGGAACAUCUCAUAUGCACCAUGUUGCUCAAAACGCCUUUGGAGCCCCAUUUCCAAACUGUAUAACAUGCCACACCUAACCAGAGAGUAGUCAUCACUCCGUGUUUGCCAGACAUUCAGAAUGUCCUGGGCUGCUGCAGGAGCGGGAGGGUCACCUAGCGGCGCAUCAAGGACAUAAGCCUUUUUAGCUGCUUCAAGGAUGAGCUUCAAGUUGCGAACCCAGUCCGCAUAGUUGCUACCAUCAUCUUUCAGCUUGUUUUUCUCUAGGAAUGCGUUGAUAUUGAGGUUGACGUUGGCCAUCUACAAUAUUUAUAAAGACAAAUUUUAGACUAAGUUCAUUUAAUCAAAUUAAGUAUGAACUCCCACUUAAAUCGACAUCCCUCUAGUCAUCUAAGUGAUACAUGAUCCAUGUUGACUAACCCGUGUCCGAUCAUCACGUGAGACGGACUAGUCACCAUGGUGAGCAACUUCAUGCUGAUCGUAUUCAACCAUACGACUCAUGUUCGACCUUUCGGUCUCUUGUAUUCGAGGUCAUGUCNNNNNNNNNNNNNNNNNNNNNNNNNNNNNNNNNNNNNNNNNNNNNNNNNNNNNNNNNNNNNNNNNNNNNNNNNNNNNNNNNNNNNNNNNNNNNNNNNNNNACUAGGGGCUGGUUAGAUAAAGAAACAACUACGAGUGUCUAACGAGUGUGGAAAAGUGGUGGUAGGAGUUGCGGAAUUGUCCCUAAGCAAUUGACUACGUUACUAGAUCGAUAGCAAGUAUCAUGUGGGAGAAGCCUCUGCUAGCAUGACAUCCCUUACUUGGAAUUCUAUGCACUUAUGAUUGGAACUAUUAGCAACCUUCCGCAACUACUAACAUUCACUAAGGUAAAACCCAACCAUAGCAAUAAGAUAUAUUGGUCCCCUUCAAUCCCAUAUGCAUCAAUUUCUAUGCUAGGUUUGAAGCUUAUGUCACUCUAGCCUGCCAAUACAUAGUCCUAUCAACAUACAACUAACCCUAUGGUGUGAUACACGCGCGCGAUCAUAUGAUGGGCACCAAAGGACAGCAACAUAACCACAAGCAAAUUAAACCAAUCAUAGCAAUUCAUCAAUCACCGAUAGGACAACGAUAAUCUACUCAGACAUCAUAGGAUAGCAACACAUCAUUGGAUAAUAAUAUGUAGCAUAAAGCACCAUGUUCAAGUAGAGAGUACAGCGGGUUGCGGGAGAGUGAACCGCUGAAUACAGAUGGGGGAAGAUGAUGGAGAUGUUGGUGAAGAUGACGGAGGUGUUGGUGUAGAUCACCGUCACACAAUGAUGUCCCGGGCGGCGUUCCGGCGCCGCCGGGAGAGAGGGGGAGAGAGACCCCCUCCUUCUUAUUCUACCUUGACCUCCUCCCUAGAUGGGCGAAGGGUUUCCCCUCUGGUCCAUGGUCUGCAUGGCGGUGGAGGGGCGAGAGCCCCUCCGAGAUUGGAUCUCUCUCUCUCUGUGUCCUUCUGUUUCUGCACUCCCAAAUUUUGCGUUUCACCAUUUCUUAAAUUCCCGGAGAUCCGUAACUCCAAUUGGGCUGAAAUUUUAACAAGAUUUUCUUCCGGAUAUUAUCUUUCUUGCGGCGAAAGAAGGGAUCCAACCGCCUUAAGAAGUGGCCACAAUCCUGCCUGCCGCGGGCCCACCCCUGGCCGCGGCGACAGGGCUUGUGUGCACUCCGUGCAUCACCUCGCAUUGAUUCUUCUUCCCAAAAAUCAUAAAAAUUCCAAAAAAAUCCCCGUAAGUUUUUAUUAUGUUUGGACUUCAUUUGGUAUGGAUAUUCUGCGAAACAAAAAACAUGCAACAAACAGGUACUGGCACUAGGCAUUGGAUCAAUAUGUUAGUCCCAAAAAUAGUAUAAAAAGUUGCCAAACGUAUAUGAAAGUUGUAGAAUAUUGGCAUGAAACAAUCAAAAAUUAUAGAUACGACGGAGACGUAUCAGCAUCCCCAAGCUUAAUUCCUGCUCGUCCUCGAGUAGGUAAAUGAUAAAAAGAUAAUUUUUGAUGUGGAAUGCUACCUAGCAUAAUCUUGAUCAUAUAAUCUAAUCAUGGCAUGAAUACUAAAACACGAGUGAUUCAAAGCAAUAGUCUAUCAUUUGACAUAAAGACAAUAAUAUUUCAAGCAUAUUAACAAAGCAAUCAUGUCUUCUCAAAAUAUCAUGGCCAAAGAAAGUUAUCCCUACAAAAUCAUAUAGUCUGACUAUGAUCCAUCUUCCCCACACAACAUAUUUAAAUCAUGCACAACCGCGGUUUUAGCCAAGCAAUUGUUUCGUACUUUAGUGUUCUCAAACCUUUUCAACUUUCAUGCAAUACAUGAGCGUGAGCCAUGGACAUAGCACUAUAGGUGGAAUAGAAUAUGGCGGUCAUGGAGAGGACAAAAAAGGAGGAGAUAAUCUCACAUCAACUAGGCGUAUCAACGGGCUAUGGAGAUGCCCAUCAAUAGAUAUCAAUGUGAGUGAGUAGGGAUUGCGACGCAAUGGAUGCACUAGAGCUUAUAAGUGUAUGAAAGCUCACAAAAGAAACUAGUGGGUGUGCACCCAACUUGCUUGCUCACGAAGACCCAGGGCAAUUUUGAGGAAGCCCAUCAUUGGAAUAUACAAGCCAAGUUAUAUAAUGAAAAUUUCCCACUAGUAUAUAGAAGUGACAACAUAGGAGACUCUCUCUCAUGAAGAUCAUAGUGCUAUUUGAAGCACAAGUGUGGAAAGUGGAUAGUAACAAUUGUCCCUUCUCUCUUUUCUCUCUUUUUUUGUGGGCUCUUUGGCCUCUUUUUUAUAUAUUUUUAAUUUAUUUUGGUGAGCAUCUUUGGCCUCUUUUUUGUAAAUGGGCUUCGCUGGCCUCUUUUAUUUCCUCACAUGGGGCAAUGCUCUAUUAAUAAUGAUCAUCACACUUACAACUCAAUACUUAGAGAAAUGAUGACUCUAUAUGAAAUGCCUUCGAUAGUGUACCGUGACAAUGAUCUAGCAUAGAAAUGACAUCAAGAAACGGACAAGCCAUGGAAACAUCAGGCUAGCUAUCUUACGAUCAUGCAAUGGCAAUAUGGAAGUGGUGGCACAUGUCAUGAGACGGAACGGUGGUAGUUGCAUGGCAAUAUAUCUCGGAAUGGCUAUGAAAAGGCCAUAAUAGGUAGGUAUAGUGGUUGUUUUGAGGGAGGCUAUAUGGUGGGUGUAAUGCACCGGCGAAAGUUGCGCGGUACUAGAGAGGCUUGCAAUGGUGGAAGGGUGAGAGUGCGUAUAAUCCAUGGACUCAACAUUUGUCAUAAAGAACUCACAUACUUAUUGCAAAAUUCUAUUAGUCAUCGAAACAAGGUACUACACGCAUGCUCCUAGGGGAAAGGUAGGUAGGAGUUAACCAUCGCGCGAUCCCGACCUCCACACAAAGGAUGACAAUCAAUAAAUAAAUCAUGCUCCGACUUCAUCACAUAACGGUUCACCAUACAUGGAUGCUACGGGAAUCACAAACCUUAACACAAGUAUUUCUAAAAAAACACAACUACUCACUAGCAUGACUCUAAUAUCACAUAUUCAUGUUGCAAAACUGUUGCAAGGAAUCAAACAUAUCAUAAUCAGUGAUCUACAAGUUUUAUGUAGGAUUUUAUGACUAACCAUGUGAAUGACCAACUCCUGUUAACUCUCUAAAUUGGUAUAAGUGAAGCAUGAGAGUUUAAUUCUUUGUACAAAAGAUAUGCCCCGCUCUAACAAAUAUAAGUGAAGCAAAAGAGCAUUCUACAAAUGGCAAUUUUCUGUGUGUAGGGAAACAGGCAAUCCAAACUUCAAAAGAUAUAAGUGAAGCACAAGAAGUAUUCUAUAAAGCAAACCAAGGACUAUCUCAUACCAGCAUGGUGCAUGAAAGAAAAAGGAAAAACACAAAAGAUGCUCCAACCAUUUGCACAUAUCAUUUGACGAAUUAAAAUAUAGCUCCGAGUAAAAUUACCGAUAGAUUGUAGACGAAAGAGGGGAUGCCUUCCGGGGCAUCCCCAAGCUUAGACGCUUGAGUCUUCCUUGAAUAUUACCUUGGGGUGCCUCGGGAAUCCCCAAGCUUAGGCUCUUGCCUCCCCUUAUUCCUUCAUCUAUCGUGCUCUCACCCAAAACUUGGAAACUUCAAUCACACAAAACUCAACAAAACUUCAUGAGAUCCAUUAGUAUAAUAAAAUAAAUCACCACUUCAAGUACUGUUGUGAACUCAUUCUACAUUAAUAUUAGCAUUAUCUCUACUGUAUUCCAACUUCACCGUGGUUCAUACUGUUGGACAUAUGCCCUAGAGGCAAUAAUAAAAUGGUUAUUAUCACAUUUCCUUGUUCAUGAUAAUCGUCUAUUGUUCAUGCUAUAAUUGUAUUNNNNNNNNNNNNNNNNNNNNNNNNNNNNNNNNNNNNNNNNNNNNNNNNNNNNNNNNNNNNNNNNNNNNNNNNNNNNNNNNNNNNNNNNNNNNNNNNNNNNUGGUAUCCCUAAGCCUUGUUUGGUGUCCACAUAAAGUUUCACCUUGAUCAAAGGUGGAUAAGGACCCCAAAUAAACCAAAAACCAUGUUUGUCCAGAAUCAAGUUAGAGCAACUCUACAUAGCAAAGUUCGCCCAAUGAUGCUAAAACUUUGCAGGAGUGCCUAAUACCUCAAAUGAGGGUUCUACACCAAAAAUGGGAUUUGUGGGACUUAGUUUGCCCACACUCCCUUUGGAAAGAACAAAUCUGGUCAUAUUGGAGUAAUUUCAAGUUUACAAAGCUAAACUUGUCUUUUGGAGCUCAAAUUUGUUGGAACUCCAUGGUUUACCACCAAAACAAAACCUGUUAAGUCUCAGCACCAGUGGUGGGGUGCAAACCCCUGUACCCACUGUCGAACACCUUCUGGCAGAUAGGAAAAAGCCACCUUAGCCAUAGCUAAACCAAACUCCUUUGCUUCAAACUCUUAGAUUAAGUAGCCAACACCUGUGUCUAACCCCAAUCAACUGGCCCCUCACUGGUUCAAAGUGGAAAGGCCAAAAACCCCAAUUUAGACCUCAGUUCAUGACUAGCAGCACUAGUAUUUCUUGCCUCCUUUGACAAGCCAAAGCUCCCACUAAAACCAAAUGGCUAGCCACACCCCCAGCAAGUGCCAGGACAUGAUAGACACGUCCAAAGUGCCUCAGAGCGCACCAGCAUGUCGUGGCAUGCCAAAACUGCGCUCUGGGCGCACUACAGGGAGUCACCGAGGUGGGGGCGACGCCCUCGGCCAGUUCCAACCUCCCCCGAGAUGUCCAACCUAUUCCCCGACAGCCCCUCUACGUCAGGCAAGCCUCAUGGCCCCUCCUGUCUCGCGCUAAAGCUUGCGCGACGCGUGCCCGCGCGCUCCAGAACNNNNNNNNNNNNNNNNNNNNNNNNNNNNNNNNNNNNNNNNNNNNNNNNNNNNNNNNNNNNNNNNNNNNNNNNNNNNNNNNNNNNNNNNNNNNNNNNNNNNCAGGGUUUCGAACGAGAACUCAUCUCUUACAAAGGGAUUUCAUUUUUUAACUUAUUUGAAUUCCAUACUUUUUGUGUGUUCAAAAUGCACCAUUCAAAGGCACAUCACAAAGGGAUUUCUUCUUCUCUCAUAUAUGGUGGACAUUAGCUCACCUGAUUUUUUAACCGUCGAUGAUGGUCGCUACUCCUACUUCCCCUAGUGCAUAACCUAUAUCUAGCACAAGGAGAAGAAGGAGAAGCGACCCCCACAACAAAAGUUGUUCCGCGGCACGCCACGUGGUUCCGCGGCACGCGACGUGGGACUAAUGGUCUUUCAUUUUUAAAUGAUUGUUUUAAUCAAAAACAGAUCUGUUACAAAAGGGAUUUCAUUUUUUGAACUUAUUUGAACUAAAGACUUUUUGUAUAUAUAUGUGGUCGAAAUGCAUGAUACCAUGAAGUUAGAAAGGGCUAAACCAUUCAAAAGUAGCAAAUGAAGUUAGAAAGGGCUAAACCAUUCAAAUUUGGAAACUAUAAUGGCACAAAUAGAAACUAGACAUAUAUAAAUUGGUGCUAGAAGUACAUGAUACUAGCCCAAACAGUACAUAAUAAUAGCUACCAUAGAUAUAUAUACAAGUGUGAGACAUUCAAAACACUACUCGUGUGAAUCAUCUAAAUCAGAAUGUCCACGUUCCUCGAGGUGACGCUGGCCAUAGUUGACGACUCGAAUCUUGCGGUACAACUCGUAUGAAACGUAUGCAUCUUUUGCUGCAUACUCAAUGUUGAUAUCAUCAAGUGGGCCCUUCUCCCAAAGUUUGUGCUGAUACUUUGGGAAACUGGUCUUCAUAUCACCAUAUGACUCGUCGAUCAAGGCAACUGCGAUAUGAGCCAUCGAAGUCCUGUCAUGUCGAAGCCUGAAUAUCGUUUGGAGAUCAACGAGGCAACCAGCUGGUAUCUCAAUACCGAAGCUGUGCCUCAUCUUCAGCUUGUCGUUCCUUAUGUCAACGGAAGCAAAGUGAUGCCGCUGCGAAGGAACUCCAUGAGUUCUGGACAAUUCUUGUCACCCCUGCAACAGAAACAAAUUAAAAUGGAACAAAUGUUACAUACUGCUUCAAUAAGGAAACAUGUUUCACUACAACUAAAGAGAAACUUAUCUUUAGGAUUCAAAUAGAACAAAUGCAAUGGAACCUAGAGAGAUCACUAUAGCUAUCCAAUGGAACCUAGAGAGAUCACUAGCUAUAUGCAAUUUUCAUGACUAUGACAUAUAAUAUUGCUAUCCAAUGGAACCUAGAGAGAUCACUAGCUAUAUUCAAUUUUCAUAACCUUGGAUCAAAGAACACCGCAUAAAAUUGUAUCACUACAACUAUGAUUUCAAUGGAACAUAUUGAACCAAUCAGAUUUUUCAGAUUAUGGAACACUAUUGCAAUCAGAUUAUGUUCCCUUCAACUAAUCAAAAUUGUUUCACUACAACUAUUUGAAGCGAACCAACUAUGAUUCCAAUGGAACAUAUUAAACACUAGUUCAUUCUAAUACGAUUUAUCAGAUUAUGGAACACUAUUCCAAUCAGAUUGUGUUCCCCUUCAACUAAUCAAAAUUGUUUCACUACAACUAUUUGAAGGGAACCAACUAUGAUUCCAAUGGAACAUAUUAAACACUAGUUGAUUCUAAUACGAUUUUUCAGAUUAUGGAACACUAUUCCAAUUAGAUUGUGCCCCCUUCAAGUAAUCAAAAUUGUUUCACUACAACUAUUUGAAGGGAACCAACUAUGAUNNNNNNNNNNUCCCCUUCAACUAAUCAAAAUUGUUUCACUACAAAUAUUUGAAGGGAACCAACUAUGAUUGAAACAAAUAAACUUACAAUGUCAUUAUCUGGGAUCAAAGAAAGCCUCAAAACUUACCUCGCCCAUUGGAAGAUCAAGACAUGGCUUGCGAAGCAUAUUUGGAUGACGGCAACACCGCGUUGAUCGGCCGUGUACUCCAGAUCAAGCCCGAAGAACUUCUCAUGAUCCGCUGCGUGGUCAAACCAUCGUUCCUUCAACCGUUGAAGGAAAAACGGCACCUCCCUGCUCAGGUUCGUGUACACGACACGGAGCUUGGUCGUGCCAUGCGCGACCACCUCAUGAAAGCUAGUUGGCNNNNNNNNNNNNNNNNNNNNNNNNNNNNNNNNNNNNNNNNNNNNNNNNNNNNNNNNNNNNNNNNNNNNNNNNNNNNNNNNNNNNNNNNNNNNNNNNNNNNCCAUUUCAACAAAUGGAUUUGAUCCCAUAAAAGUUUCCCUUUUUGAGUCAAGCGAUAAUCCCUAAAGUAUUCACGUUGAUCCAACGUGUAUCCCAUUAUAUAAUUGAAUGGGGCUUUCUUAGGAUUAUUAAAGAAGUGCAUAAUAUUUUCCACAUAACGAGCCUCGAGGGUUUUAGGAGGUUCCCCAUCUCCAUGAGUAGCAAGUACACCUAAUUUUUUUGGUAUUUCGUGUUCCAUAUCCAUAACUAAAGAUAGAGAACAACUUAGAACAGCAAAUAAAUCUACUUAGUGAUAAAGCAAACAAGCACACACGAGAAUAUUCACCUCACGGUAUUGCUCCCCCGCAACGGCGCCAGAAAAAGGUCUUGAUAACCCACAAGUAUAGGGGAUCAAUUGUAGACUUUCUUGAUAAGUAAGAGUGUCGAACCCAAUGAGGAGCUAAAGGUAGGACAAAUAUUCCCUCAAGUUGUAUCGACCAUCGAUACAACUCUACGCACACUUUACGUUCGCUUUACCUAGAACAAGUAUGAAACUAGAAGUACUUUGUAGGAGNNNNNNNNNNNNNNNNNNNNNNNNNNNNNNNNNNNNNNNNNNNNNNNNNNNNNNNNNNNNNNNNNNNNNNNNNNNNNNNNNNNNNNNNNNNNNNNNNNNNCGGGAUUGAUUGAAUCCUUGACAUCGUGGUUCAUCCGAUGAGAUCAUCGUGGAGCAAGUGGGAGCCACCAUGGGUAUCCAGACCCCGCUGAUGGUUAUUGGCUGGAGAGGUGUAUCAGUCAUGUCUGCCUGUCUCCCGAACUCGUAGGGUCUACACACUUAAGGUCAGAUGAUGCUAGGGUUAUAGGGAAUUGUUAUACGAGGUUACCGAAGGAUGUUCGGAGUCCUGGAUGAGAUCCCGGACGUGUCGAGGAGCUCCGGAAUGGUCCAGAGGUAAAGAUUAAUAUAUAGGAUGGAUGGGUUUGGACGCCGGAAAUGUUUCGGGCACCACCGGCAAAGUGUCGGGACCACCGGAAGGGUUCCGGAGGCCCACCGGGAGGGGCCACAAGCCCUGGAGGGCUACAUGGACCAAGUGCGGAGGGAACCAGCCCCUAGGUGGGCUGGUGCGCCCCCCACACCCAGCCCAUGUGCACCAUAGAGGGAGGGAGGGGGAACCCUAGGUGCCGGGGAGGCCCAAGGCCCACAUAGGGCGCCCCCCCCCCCUUUCCUUGCCCUGGCUGUCGCCCCCCUCUCCCAUCUGGGCUGCCACAUCACCUAGGGUGGGAACUAUAGGGUGGCGCACCCCCUCCCCUGCUCCUAUAAAUAGUGGGGUUUUGGGGCUGUUGGACACACCAUUUUCCCUCUCCCUCGGCGCAGCCCUGCCCCCCUUCUUCCUCCUUUCCCACGGUGCUUGGCGAAGCCCUGCCGGGAGACCUCGUCUCUCCAUCGACACCACGCCGUCGUGUUGCCGGACAUCUUCCCCAACCUCUCCCUCCUCCUUGCUGGAUCAAGGCGUGGGAGACGUCACCGGGCUGCACGUCUGUUGAACGCGGAGGUACCGUGGUUCGGCACUAGAUCGGAAUCACACCGCGAUCUGAAUCGCCGCGAGUACGACUCCAUCAACCGCGUUCUAGCAACACUACCGCUUAGCGAUCUUCAAAGGUAUGAAGAUGCACUCACCCCUCUCUCGUUGCUGGUCUCUCCAUAGGAAGAUCUGAAUGUGCGUAGGAAAUUUUUUGAAUUUAUGCUACGCUACCCAACACAUACCCCGCGAUUUUUUUAAUUUUUGAAAAUAAGAGAACAAUGCAUAGAAAACAGAAUCUGUCAAAACAGAACAGUGUGUAGCAAUCUGUAUAUUCCGUAUAGUUUUUAUAUCUCAAAAAAUCUGAAAAAUUACGAACGUCUGGAAAAUUUGCAUAUCAAUCAGAAGCAAAAAGAAUCAACUCAAAAUCUCUUCCAUAAUAGAAAUGAAAAUUAAUUUCGUGAGCCGAAAGUUUCUGUCUUUUCUCAGCGUAAUCAAACAACUAUCACCCAAACUAAUCGUAAAGGCUUUAGUUGGCACAUUAUUUUUGAAAACACAAAGGAAUUGUACAAGGGGAUAAUUAUUUUGGUGAGAUACUUCCAUGAAAAAUUCUACAUUGUUUCCAUGAGCAUGAACACAAGUGUUCAAGGUCGACCCUCACUUCCACAAUGCAUCACCUUUCAAUCACUUCUCUUUUUGAAAAAGUUUUAAGUUCCCCUCUAUAUUUUUUUUUGUCUUUAAACUAAAUAAAAGCACUCAACAGAAAUAAAUGACUCUCUAAAACUUCCAGGUUUUCUCCCAGGCAGUGCUUUCUUUAAAGCCAUUAAGCUAGGCAUAAAGUGCUCAAGUAAUGGAUCCACCCGGAUCCCAAGGUAUAUCAAAGCCAAUUUUAAUUAGCAAUGAUUUGAAAUUUAGUAGUGAGCACAAGGUAACAUAUAUCAAGCAAUGACGAAGUCUAACUCUCUUCCUAUGCAUUGGCAUGUCAUAAAAGAACAAGUCAUGCACACCAAGUAAAGGCCAAUACAUAGCAUAAGCAGUUUCUUGCAAUUUUAUCGUAUGGGAAACAUAGAGAGGUGGAGAUGUAGUUCCUCUCUCAUAAUAAUUGCAAGCAGGAGAAGCAAGCACAUGCAUAUUAUAUUCAUCGAAAUCAUCAUGUUUAACAUAAGGGACUAUAGCUAGCUCAUCUUCAUAAGCAUCAUUCAUAUUGGCAACAUGGCCACAAAUAUAGCAUGCAUCAAGUUCAUCAAAAAGAGAUAUUUCAAAUGAAUCCAAGGGAUCAUAGCAUUCAUCCUUCGGUGAGAACGAAGGGAAAUUAAAUAAUGUAUGAGUAGAAGAGUUACUCUCAUUAGAAGGUGGACACGGGUAGCUAGUCCGCUCUUCCUCCUUUUGUUCUUCGCUCUCCUCUUCAUCUUUUUCAUCUAAUGAGCUCACAAUUUCAGCAUUUUCUUCUUCCAUAGUUUCCUGCAAAAUAAUAGUCUCUUCUUGGGCAGCAUAGGAUUUCUCCUUAAAUCGUUCAAUAUGGGCAUUAUAUUCAUAAUUAGUAUAACAAUAACGAAGCAUAGCCAAAUUUUCAGAUCGGUAAGGAGCAUCAUCAUUAUCAUCACACCUUUUAAACAAAGCCUCAAUUUCAUAAGCACCCAUAAAAGCAACAAACUCUUCUAUUUGAUCCACAUCAUAGUAAUCAUAUAUACCAUUAGCAUAAGAAGCCAAGGUUCUAUGAUCAUUAAAUUCACAAGAAAAGGGAAGGUGUGGAGCCUUCAUCCUAGAGCAACAAGUAACACCAUAUCUCUUGCAUAGUUCCCAAGCAUACCAUUUCAACAANNNNNNNNNNNNNNNNNNNNNNNNNNNNNNNNNNNNNNNNNNNNNNNNNNNNNNNNNNNNNNNNNNNNNNNNNNNNNNNNNNNNNNNNNNNNNNNNNNNNCGAUUACAUGAUAGAUCUCAUCCAACCCAUCACCGUCCAGCAAGCCUAUGAUGAGAUUACUCACAAACGGUGAAGAGCAUCAUGGAAUUGGCGAUGAAGGAAGGUUGAUGAUGACGAUGGCGGCGAUCUCCCCUCUCCGGAACCCAGAAUGGACUCCAGAUCUGCCCUCCAGAUGAAGAACAGGAGGUGGCGGCGCCACCGUAUCGUAAAACGCAAUGAAUUCUUCUCCUUGAUUUUUUUCCGGGCAAGACAGACUAAAUAGAGCUGAGAUUGGAGGCGGUGGAGCUUUGUGGGCCCCACAAGCCUGCCAAGCGCGGCCAGGGGGGGCGCCUGGUGGGCUUGUGGUCUCACGACUCCACUUCUUCCGCUGAUUCUUGCGCGAGUAUUUUUCAUAAAUUCUAGAAAAAUUCUCCGUAAAUUUUCAGGUCAUUCCGAGAACUUUUAUUUCUGCACAAAAACAACACCAUGGCAAUUGUGCUGAAAACACCGUUAGUCCGGGUUAGUUCCAUUCAAAUCACGCAAAUUAGAGUCCAAAACAAGGGCAAAAGAGUUUGGAAAAGUAGAUACGACGGAGACGUAUCAACUCCCCCAAGCUUAAAGCCUUGCUUGUCCUCAAGCAAUUUAGUUGACAAACUGAAAGAGACAAAAGAAAAACUUUGACGAACUUUGUUUGAUCUUGUUGUUGCAACUAUGUCUAACUCAUAACCAUAAUUUCAGCAAGAACACAAGCUGACCACAUAAGCAAAUGACAUCAAGGUCUCACGGUAAAGUCAUAUCAAUGGCAUAAUAAACUAGCGACCAAAUAAUAAUAAGUCUCAAAUGUCAACACUUCAAUCAAAACAACAUGAAGCAGUAUGAAUAGAUGGUAUCUCGCUAGAUCUUUCUGAGACCGCAAAACAUAAAUGCAGAGCACCUUCAAAGACCAAGGGCUGACUAAACAUUGUAAUUCAAGGCAAAGAAGAUCCAGUCACAGUCAUACUCAACACAGUUAAAAGCAAAGCAUAAAAAUGACAGAGGUGCUCUCUAAUUGGUGCUUUUAUAAGAAGAGGAUGACUCAAGAGGAACAUAAAUAGACAGGCCCUUCAUAGAGGGAAGCAUUGAUUUGUAGAGGUGCCAGAGCUCAAGCUUUGAAAACAGAGAUAAUAAUUUUGGGUGCCAUGCUUUCAUUGUCAACGCAGUGACUAAGAGUUCUCACCAUCUUCCACGCUACACAUGCUAUAGGGAGUUUCCAAACAGAAAGUAAAGUUUUGACUCCCCCACCACCAAUCAAUGACACUCCACGACUAACCAAAUACUCAGGUGCCGUCCAUACCAACAUCAGUCCAGGGGGUGUUUUGUUUGCAAUUAUCUUUUCGAUUUGAGCAUGUAACUGGGAAUUCCAAUUACCGUCCCCUUUCUCGUGAAUGAUAGUUAAUAAAUGCAUAUCGAGGAUAACACGCCUAGCAUGGAAGAUAUGGAUAGCCCCCUAUCACCACAUGAGCGGUUUGGGCAUGCAAAACAGAUUAUUUCUUGAAGGUUUAGAGAGUGGCACAUGCAAAUUUACUUGGAACGGAGGUAGAUACCGCAUAUAGGUAGGUAUGGUGGACUCAUACGGAACAACUUUGGGUUUAUGGAGGUGGAUGCACAAGCAGUAUUCCCGCUUAGUACAAGUGAAGACUAGCAAAAGACUGGGAAGCGACCAAUUAGAUAGCGACAACAGUAAUCAAAAUGCAUUGAGAUUAACUAACAUUGAGUGCAAGCAUGAGUAGGACAUAAAUCACCAUGAACAUGAAUAUCAUAGAGGCUGUGUUGAUUUUGUUUCAACUACAUGCAUGAAAAUGCACCAAGUCAAGCCACUUGAAUCAUUCAAAGGAGGAUACCAUCCUAUCAUACUACAUCAUAGUCAUCUCAAAAUUCAUGUGGGCAUCCAAGACAAACCAUUAUAAGCUCCUAGCUAAUUAAGCAUGGCAUCAGAAACUAUGAUCUCUAAGUUGUCAUUGCAAACAUGUUUCUCUCACAACAAAGCUGAAUCAGGUACGAUGAGCUAGUCAUAUUUACAAAAACAAAAUAGAUCGAGUUCAUACCAGCUUUUCCAGGCUCAGUCACUUCAUCAUAUAUCGUCAUUAUUGCCUUUCACUUACACGACCAAAUGAUGUGAACAAUAAUAAGAGUGCUCAUGCAUUGGACUAAAGCUGGAAUCUGCAGGCAAACACAAAGGAGAAGACAAAGUAAUAUGGCUCUUUAACAGAUAAACAGAUAUGCAUGCGAGAGCCACUAAACAUUGUAACCAUUAUCAUCUACCUUGACCCAAAGAAAAAGAAAACUAUUUACACGGGAAAGCUCCCAACAAGCAAAAGAAGAACAAGAAAAUAUUUUUGGGUUUUCUCAAACUAGACAGACACACGAAAAGAAAACAAGAAAAAGAAAUAAACUAGCAUGGAUGAUACAGUGGCAAAGUGUGAGCACCGACGAACAAAGCGAAAGCAUAAGCAAGAAUGUAAAGUCGGUGAGAAACACGUACUCCCCCAAGCUUAGCCUUUUGGCCUAAGUUGGUCUACUUCCAAGGAGGGAAAUAACUAGCUCCGGGAUACUCCGGAGUGGAAUGAGGAUGCCACUGCUGUGUGAGCUCCUCCGGCUCUCACUGAUAAACUGGCGUCUGGUACUCGACUGGUGGCUCGGGCACGGGCACCUAUGGUAGGGCUAAGCCCCAAUAUGCGUAGAUGUCCGAGGGCAUAAUGUACCUGCCUGCAUGAAGAUUGAACAAAGAAGGAGCAGGCAAACUAAUAGUCUCACGAGUACCCUGACUAAAUACCAGGUUAUAAAUCAUCCUUCUACUUAUAUCUCUAUCAAGAAAGUCAUGGCGAACCAUGCUAUCGUAAUCUAGAUAUCUCUCGGGAAGAAGAAUCUCUUCUUCCUCGUCCAGUCUAAUAGGUCUCUCAAAGUGUCUAGCAAGACGAGUAGCAUAGGUACCUCCAUAGACAAUGCCUUUAGAACGGUUUGUGUUCAACCGUUGAGCUACUAUAGUGCCCAAGCUAUAAAUUUUAUCAUUAUAAAGGGCUUUGCGCAAGACCACAAGUUCUGGGGAGCUAAGUGACCCAACUUUCCCACGGCCAAUCAAACAUUUUCCCACAAAUAGUGAGAAGUACCGAAGUACAGGAAAAUGUAUGCUAGCAGUUCUAGCGCAAGACACUCCUCUCUCCUCUCCUACAACAAUUGUAUCUAUGAAAGCUUCCAAGUCCCGUGGACGAGGUUCAUGAAUAUCCCCAACAUAAGGUAAUUUGCAAACACUGCAAAAAUCCUGGAGUGACAUGCGCUAGGGGAUAUCAUAAAGUUUGAACUCUACCAUAGGAGGAUUCUUCCUCGGAUAGAAGUUAAAGCUUUGUACGAAGAUAUUAGUGAGGAGGAGGUAUUGCGGACACUUAUCUUCAACGAAGGCGGUAAGGCCUGCAUUCUCCACCAAGUAGUAAAAGUCCUCAUAAAGUCCGGCGGCGCGUAAGAACACAUCGCUAGGCCACUCGCACGCUCGAACUUCUGCAACUCGAGGGACCAGAUACUUGGGCUUCUUCUCACUUCCAUCAUCCUUGGGAUCACGACUUGAAGAGCCUCAUAAGAACCUCCUCAUCUUUUCCCUUCUCUAUCUCUGAAAAUUUCUGAAAUUUUUAGUGAUUCUUAGGAAAAGUGAAUAAGGCUCAAGUCAACUUGUAGCAACUACUCCAACAAGUUCCUAGAGGCCAUAUCACACAUCAAAACUACUUCGGACGAGCUAAAAUUAGCAUGCAAAGUUCAAGAACAUGGUCACCAAGGCAGCAAAAAUACGCGAAGUAUAAGGCACUAGAGCAAAAACUAAUUGGACCAAUGGAGGAGUCACUUACCAAGGAGUAAUUUCCCCAAAACAGUUCGUAGAAUGGUGCUUUGAGCAAAGAGAUCGAAAAUCCCAGCAAGAGGAGCAAGAACACGGGUUUGAGCUGUGAAAUGAUUUUUUCUGGAGGUAGGAGAAGCAGAUGGGAGCUAGAAUGAGUGGAGGGGGUGCACGUGGGCCCCACAAACCAGGUAGGCGUGGCCAGGGGGUGCCCGCGCCUCCAGGGCUUGUGGCCCACUGGUGCAGCCCCCAGACUAGCUCUUCGUCUCAGUAUUUUUCAAAAAUUCCAAAAAUAAUCAUACUUGAUUUUCAGGACGUUCGGAGAACUUUUAUUUUCGGGGUACUUUUCUGCGGGACACUAAAACAGAAAAGAGGGAAAACUAAACUAAAUCUAUCAUUUUUCUUCUAAGCAACCGAAAGUGAAAGCUUGGAACAAAGGUUUGUGACUCCUCAAUUCAUCCAUCUCAUGGUCAUCCAAAGAAAUCCGUCAAUGAGGUUGAUCAAGUCUCCUCGACAAACCUUUUCGAAUCGCAAAAGAAGACGGAGAACUUUUGAAUAGUCACUAGGUUACCUCAAUGGGGAUGUAUAUCUCCCCGACAAGCAAAUUAUACUUCAUCUUAACAGGAGGAAUAGGGCAUUCAAAGCUCCCAAUAAGAAUCGAUGAAGUUUUUUCGAUAUCAUUGAUGCAAUGUACUCAAUAUUGUUUCUUCAGAAAGUGCAUCGUAUGCUCAUUACCGUUGACAUGUAAAGUGACAUUGCCUUUGUUGCAAUCUAUAACAGCCCCUACAGUGUUUAAAAAGGGUCUUCCGAGGAUGACCGCCAUGGCAUCAUCCUCGGGAAUAUCCAGAAUAACAAAGUCUGUUAAGAUAGUGACGUUAGCAACCACAACAGGCACAUCCUCGCAAAUGCCAAUAGGAAAAGCGGUUGAUUUGUCGGCCAUUUGCAGAGAGAUUUUAGUGGGUGUCAACUUAUCCAGUUCAAGCCUACGAUAAAGAGAGAGAUGCAUAACACUAACAUCGGCUCCAAAGUCGCAUAAAGCAGUUCUAACGUAGUUUCCUUUAAUGGAGCAAGGUAUAGUGGGCACUCCGGGAUCACCUAGUUUCUUAGGAGUUCCACCCUUGAAGGUAUAGUUAGCAAGCAUGGUGGAAAUCUCAACCUCAGGUAUCCGCCUCUUAUUAGUCACAAUAUCUUUCAUGUACUUAGCAUACGGCGACAUUUUGAGCAUAUCUGUCAAACGCAUUUGAAGAAAGACAGGUCUAAUCAUUUCAACAAAGCGCUCAAAAUCCUCAUCAUCUUUUUUCUUGGAUGGUUUGGGAGGAAAGGGCAUGGGUUUCUGAACCCAUGGUUCCCUUUCUUUACCAUGCUUCCUAGCAGCGAAGUCAUUCUUGUCGUAUCUUCUAUUCUUAGGUUGUGGGUUAUCAAGAUCAACAGGUUCAAUCUCCACAUCCUUAUCAUUGCUUGGUUGAGCAUCAACAUGAAAAUCACUAUUGAUAUUAUCAUUAGGCUCAUGUUCAUCACGAGAUUGUGUUUCAACAUCAGAAACAGAGGCAUCGUUUGGACUCUCAGGGGUAGCAGCAUCUGGGUUGCUAGCGUGCAAAUUCCAGUCAUCUUUCUUAUUCUUCCUAGGAUGACUAGGUGCAUCAGUGCUAACUCCUUGGGAAUCUUGUUCAAUUCUCUUAGGAUGACCCUCAGGAUACAAAGGUUCCUGGGUCAUUCUACCGCCUCUAGUAACGACUCUGACAGAAUUGUCAUUCAACUCAUUGAGCAAGUCAUUUUGAGCCUUAAGUACUUGCUCUAGUUGAGUAGUAACCAUAGAGGCAUGUUUACUCAAGAGCUUAAGAUCAUUGACAUUUCUGUCCACACAAGCACUUAAAUGACUAAGCAUACGAGCAUUCUAUUCCAAUUGUCUUCUAACAUAAUCAUUGAAACUCUGUUGUUUGGCAACAAAGUUAUCAAAUUCAUCCAGGCAUAAGCUAGCAGGUUUAUGAAAAGGAAUAUCACUCUCAUCAAACCUACGCACAAAAUUUACUUCUACUACCUGUUUCGGGUUAUCAAGACCAUGGAUCUCUUCGAUAGGUGGUAGAUUUUUGACAUCUUCAGAUUUAAUGCCUUUCUCUCGCAUAGAUUUCUUUGCUUCUUGCAUAUCUCCAGGACUGAGGAAUAGAAUACCUCUUUUCUUCGGAGAUGGAUUAGGAGGUGGUUCAGGAAUAGUCCAAGCAUUCUCAUUGCACAAGAUAUUAUUCAAUAGAAUCUCGGCUUGUUCUACAGUCCGUUCCCUAAAAACACAACCAGCACAACUAUCUAGGUGGUCUUUGGAAGCAUCAGUAAGUCCAUUAUAGAAGAUAUCAAGUAUUUCAUUCUUCUCAAGAGGGUGAUCAGGCAAAGCAUUCAGUAGCUGGACGAGCCUCCCCCAAGCUUGUGGGAGACUCUCUUCUUCAGCUUGAGCAAAGUUGUGUAUUUCCUGCAAGGCAGCUUGCUUCUUAUGGGCAGGGAAAUAUUUUUCAGAGAAGUAGUAGACCAUAUCCUAGGGGCCAUGCACACAACCAGGAGCAAGUGAAGUGAACCCAGUCUUAGCAUCAUCCUUUAGUGAGAAAGGAAACAGCUUGAGGAUAUAGUAGUGGCGAAUAUUUUCCUCACUAGUGAAUAGGGUGGCUAUAUCGUGCAGUUUGGUAAGAUGUGCUACGACCGUUUCAGACUCAUAACCGUGAAAAGGAUCAGAUUCGACGAGAGUGAUUAACUCAGGGUCGACAGAGAAUUCAUAAUCCUUAUCGGUCACAAAGAUAGGCGAAGUAGCAAACUUCGGGUCGUAUUUCAUCCUAGCGUUCAGAGAUUUUACUUUCCACUUGAGCAGUAAUUUCUCAACAUCAUAGCUAUCCUUACAAGCAAGAAAGUCCCCAGAUAUCUCUCCCUCCAUAACAUAACGCUCAGGCAUAUUAGGCAAUUCAGGUCUAGGAGAGCUAGUUCUAGCAGGCAAAAUAGCAGGUUCUACUUCAAUAGUAUCAGCAGUUUCAGAAGUAUCAUCACAUCUAGCAGCAACUCUAGCAAUUUGUGCAUCAAGGAAUGCACCAAGUGGAAAAGCAGUAUCAAGCAUAGCAUCAUCAUAAGCAUCAUGGGCAGCAUAAGUAGCAUCAUCAAGCACAUGCGACAUAUCAAGAUUUCUAGCAGGAGGUGGUGUCGCAAACUUACUCAUAACUGAAGGUGAAUAAAGUGCAGAGCUAGAUGGCAGUUCCUUAACUGUCCUCGUAGUUGAGGGCAAGACUUCAGUUCUUGGAUCUUUCAGAUACCUCAUAGUGACCAGCAGACGUAAAUCCCAAGUGACUCAGAAAAUAUAGCUAUGCCUCCCCGGCAACGGCGCUAGAAAAUAGUCUUGGUAACCCACAAGUAUAGGGGAUUGCAACAGUUUUCUAGGGUAGAGUAUUCAACCCAAAUUUAUUGAUUCGAUUCAAGGGGAAGCGAAAGAAUAUUCUCAAGUAUUAGCAGCAGAGUUGUCAAUUCAACCACACCUGAAAGAUUUAGUGUCUACAGCAAAGUAUCAGUAGCAAAGUAGCGUGAUAGCGGCAGUAGCAAUAGUAACCAGUAGCAGCAAAGUAACAGCAGUAGCAAUAGAGUAACAGUAGCAGCAGUGACAGGAGUAGCGGCAAAGUAACGUAGCAAGGACCAGUAGGAAAAGACUCGUAGGCAUUGGAUCGGUGAUGGAUGAUUANNNNNNNNNNUAGUUAUAACACGGACAUAUAUGUAACUAGCUCCCGUUCAUCAAUCUAAUGUAGGCAUGUAUUCCGGAUGUAGUCCUACAUGCUUAGGGAAAAGAACUUGCAUGACAUCUAUUGUCCAUACGUCCCGUGGCAGCGGGGUCCUAAUGGAAACUACGGGAUAUUAAGGUUCUCCUUUUAAUAAAGAACCGAACCAACGCAUUAAAACUUGGUGAAUACAUGAACUCCUCAUACUAUGGUCAUCUCCGGGAGUGNNNNNNNNNNGUUGCAAGAUAGGAUCUAAAACACAUAUAUAUUUGCGACAUAAUAAUAGGUUCAGAUCUGUAAUCAUGGCACUCGGGCCCUAGUGACAAGCAUUAAGCAUGGCAAAGUAGUAGCAACAUCAAUCUNNNNNNNNNNGUUCCGGCUAUUGUCACUCCGGGGUUGCCGGGUCAUAACACAUAGUAGGUGACUACAACUUGCAAGAUAGGAUCUAAAACACACAUAUAUUGGCGACAACAUAAUAGGUUCAGAUCUGAAAUCAUGGCACUCGGCCCCUAGUGACAAGCAUUAAGCAUGGCAAAGUAGUAGCAACAUCAAUCUCAGAACAUAGUGGAUACUAGGGAUCAAUCCCCGUCAAAACUAACUCGAUUACAUGAUAGAUCUCAUCCAACCCAUCACCGUCCAGCAAGCCUACGAUAAGAUUACUCACAGAUGGUGAAGAGCAUCAUGGAAUUGGUGAUGAAGGAAGGUUGAUGAUGACGAUUGCGACGAUCUUCCCUCUCCGAAGCCCAGAACGGACUCCAGAUCUGCCCUCCAGAUGAAGAACAGGAGAUGGCGGCGCCUCCGUAUCAUAAAACAUGAUGAACUCUUCUCCUUGAUUUUUUUUCGGGCGAGACGGACUAAAUAGAGCUGAGAUUGGAGGCGGUGGAGCUUUGUGGGCCCCAUAAGACUGCGAGGCGUGGCCAGGGGGGCCGCGCCUGGUGGGCUUGUGGGCUCACGGCUCCAUUUCCUCCGCUGAUUCUUGCGCCAGUAUUUUUCAUAAAUUCCAGGAAAUUUCUUCGUAAAUUUUCAGGUCAUUCCGAGAACUUUUAUUUUUGCACAAAAACAACACCCUGGCAAUUCUACUGAAAACAGCGUUAGUCCGGGUUAGUUUCAUUCAAAUCAUGCAAAUUAGAGUCCAAAACAAGGGCAAAAGAGUUCGGAAAAGUAGAUACGACGGAGACGUAUCAGUACCAUCCUAUCAUAAUCUAAAUAUUUUGUAGGCAGUCGCAUUUCCUCUUCCUUGUUAAGCCUAAUAGGUAUUUCAAAGUGUUUAGCUAAACGAGAUGCAUAGAUACCUCCGAAUAUAGUGCUCUCUGAAUGGUUUAAAUUCAACCGUUGAGCCACUAUAGCGCCGAGACUAAAAGUUCUAUUAACAAGUAAAGCGUGGCGCGGAAUGGUGAGGUUGGGAGCACUGAGGAUUCCACUCUCACUGCUACCAACUAAACAUCACCCUGCAAAUAAUGAAUAAUAACGUAGAACGGUAAAAUGUACGCUAGCUGCUCUUGCCUUUGACACCCCUCUUUCUUCCCCUAACGUGAUUACUGGAAUAAAAUCCUCCAUGUCUCUAGGACGUGGUUCUCUGAUGCUGCCCUCAAAAGGUAAUUUGCAAACAUUGCAAAAACCAUAAAGUGACAUUUCCUUAGGCACAUCAUAUAAAUGAAAUUCUACCAUGGGAGGAUUCUUCCUAGGAUAAAAGUGAAAAUUUUGCACGAAAGUACUAGUAAAUAGGAGAUACUCGUCACACUUGUCGUUGAGGAAGUUGAUGAUGCCUGCAUUUUCUCCUAGAUAGUAAAAAUCUUCAUAAAUUCUGGCCGCCCUCAAGAAUGCCUCACUUGACAGUUCACAUGGUCGAACUUCCACGGUGCGAGGAAUAUUGUAUCUUGGCUUCUCAUUUUCAUUUUCUUUAGAGCCCCGGCUUGAAGAACUUCUUAACAAUCUCCUCAUCUUUUCUUUUUUGAUGAACCAUCCCCUAAAAUAGUUUUGCAAAUGAAGAUUUGAGCAAGGAGGUAAAAAUGGCAGCAAGAUGAGCUAAAACACGGGUUUGAGCGAUGGUGGGAUGUUUUCUCGAGGACGAAGGAGUGGAUGGGGUACUCGAAUAAGUGAAGGGGCCCCACAUGAGACCCAUAAGCCAGGGGCCGCGCCGAGGGGGGUGGUCGUGCCUUGCAGGCUUGUGGCCCACUGGUGGAGUCCCCUGAUGUAUUCUUAGUGCCAGAAAUUCUUAAAUAUUCUAGAAAAAAUCAUAGUGAAUUUUUAGGCUGUUUUGAGAACUUUUAUUUUUAGGUCAUUUUUCUAUUGCACGGAUAAAACAAAAAACAAAGAAAUAAUAACAUUUUUUCUAAAGUGAAACUAAGAAAACAUGAAAUAAAAGUUGGGUACAGAAGGUUGUGCUUUCUAAAUUCAUCCAUCUCAUGCCCAUAAAAAAGAAUCCAUCAAUAAGGUUGAUCAAGUCUUAUUGACAAACUUUUUUCGAAUGACAUGGAACCGGAGCACUUUCAAAUAACACUAGGUCACCUCAAUGGGCAUAUGCAUGUCCCCGACAAUAAGUAUAUCAUAUUUCUUCUUGGCAGUAGGAAGAGGGAAUUAAAAGUCUCAAAUAAUGAACGUUGGAAUUUUUCAAUGGAGUUGAUACUAUGAACUUGAGAUUAUUUCUUUGGAAAGUGUACCGAUGCUCAUUACCACUAACAUGAAAAGUGACAUUGCCUUUGUUGCAAUCAAUAACAGCUCCUGCAGUAUUCAUAAAGGGUCUACCAAGGAUCAUCGACAAACUGUCGUCCUCGGGAAGAUCAAGAAUAACAAAGUUCGUUAAGAUAGUAAUGUUUCCAACCACAAUAGGCACAUCCUCAGAAAUACCGAUAGGUAAAGCAGUUGAUUUAUCAUCCAUUUGCAGAGAGAUUUCAGUACAUGUCAACUUAUUCAAGUCAAUUUUAUGAUAUAAAGAAAUCGGCAUAACACUAACACCAGCUCCAAGGCCACAUAAAGCAGUUAUAACAUAAUUUCCUUUAAUAGAGCAUGGUAUAGUGGGUACUCUAGGAUGUCCUAAUUUCUUUGGUAUUCCAACCUUAAAAGUAUAAUUAGAAAGCAUGGUGGAAAUAUCAUCUUCAUGUAUCUUUCUUUUAUUAGUAACAAUAUCUUUCAUGUACUUAGCAUAAGGAGAUAUUUUUAGAAUCUCAGUUAAGCGCAUACGUAAGAAGACAGGUCUCAGCAUUUCAGCAAAGCGCUCAAAAUCCUCAUCAUCCUUUUUCUUGGAUGGUUUAGGACGAAAGGGCAUGGGUUUCUGAACCCAUGGUUCUCUUUCUCUACCAUGCUUCCUAGCAACAAAAUCUCAUUUAUCAUAUCUCCUAUUCUUAGGUUGUGGGUUAUCAAGAUCAACAGGAGGUUCAAUCUCCAUAUCAUUGUCAUUACUAGGUUGAGCAUCGACAUGAACAUCAUCAUUAAUAUUAUCACUAGGUUCAUGUUCAUUAUCAGAUUGUGUCUCGACAUCAAAAAUAGAGAUAUCAUUUGGGUUUUCAUGUAACUCUAUAACACGUUCACUAGCAGCAUGCAAAGUCCUAUCGUCAUUCUUUUUGUUUUUAUUAGAAGGACCAGGUGCUUUAAUAUUAUCUCUUUGAGAAUCUUGGUCAACUCUAUUAGGACAGCCCUCAGGAUACAAAGGUUCCUGAGUGAUUCUACCACCCCUAGUCACAACUCUAACAAAAUGAUCAUUGUUCUUACUAAUCAUCUCAUUGAGAAUAUCAUUUUGUGCCUUAAGUACCUGUUCUACUUGAGUAGUUACCAUGGAUGCAUGUUUACUAAUAAGCCUAAGGUCACUAACAGUUCUACUCAUAUAAUCACCCAAGAGAUCAAUCAUGUAAACGUUAUGCUUCAAUUGUCUACUAACAUAAGUAUUUAAAUUUUCUUGUUUAACAACAAAGUUAUCAAAUUCGUCCAAGCAUUGGCUAGCACACUUAUUAUAAGGAAUGUCACCUUGAUCAAAUCUAGGAAGAGAAUUUACCUCUACUACCUAUGUCAGGUUAUUAAGACCAUGUGUUUCUUCAAUAGGUGGUAGAUUCUUAACAUCUUCAGCUUUAAUACCUUUUUAUUUCAUAUAUUUCUUUGCUUCUUGCAUAUCUUCAGGACUGAGGAAUAGAAUACCUCUUUUCUUCGGAGUUGGUUUUGGAGGUGGUUCGGGAAUAGUCCAAUCAUUAUCAUUGCUCAAUAUAUUAUUCAAUAAUAGUUCAACUUGUUUAACAGUUCGUUCCCUGAAAACACAACCGACACAACUAUCUAGGUGGUUCUUAGAAGCAUCAGUUAGUCCAUUAUAAAAGAUAUCAAGUAUUUCAUUUUUCUUAGAAGGGUGAUCAGUCAAAGCAUUAAGUAAUUGAAGAAGCCUCCCCCAAGCUUGUGGGAGACUCUCUUCUUCAAUUUGCACAAAGUUAAAUAUUUCCUGCGAGGCAGCUUGUUUCUUAUGGGUAGGAAAAUAUUUUUCAGAGAAGUAAUAAAUCAUAUCCUCGGGACUACGCACACAACCAGGAGCAAGAGAAUUAAACCAUAUCUUAGCAUCACCCUUUAAUGAGAACGGAAAAAGCUUAAGAAUAUAAUAGUAACAAUUUUUUUACUCAUGAGUAAAUAGGGUGGCUAUAUCAUUUAAUUUCGUAAGGUGUGCCACGAUAGUAUCUGAUUCAUAACCUUGAAAAGGACAGAUUCUACCAAAGUAAUUAACUCAGGAUCGACCGAGAAUUCAUAAUCCUUAUGAGUAACACACAUAGGUGAAGUAGCAAACUUGGGAUCAUAUGCAUUCUAGCAUUCAAAUAUUUUUCCUUCCACUUGCAUAGAAAUUUCUUAAGAUCAUCUCUAUCCUUACAAGCAAGAAAGUCCCUAGCUACUCCUUCCAUAACAUAGCCCUUAGGUAUAUUAGGCAAUUCAUAUCUAGGAGAGCUAGGUCUAGCAGGUGAAUCAUAGUGUUCAGUUUCAUCAGAUUUAGCAAUAUUAUCAGUUUUAGCAUUCACUCUAGCAAUUUGUUCAUCAAGAAAUUCACCAACUGGCACAGUAGUAUCAAGAAAAGUAUCAUAAUAAGCAUCAUUCAUAGCAGAAGUAGCAUCAUCAAUUACUUGCGACAUAUCAGAUUCAGUAGCAGGUGGUGGUGUCGCAAAUUUACUCAUAACAGACGGUGAAUCAAGUGGAGAACUAGAUGGCAGUUCCUUACAUGCCCUCUUAGUUGAGGGGUAGAUCUUUGUUUUAGCGUUUUUCAGAUUCUUCAUAGUGAUCAAUAGAUAUAAUUUCCAAGUGACUGAGAGAAUAAAGCUAUGCUCCCCGGCAACGGCGCCAGAAAAAUGUCUUGAUAACCAACAAGUAUAGGGGAUCGCAACAGUUUUUGAGGGUAGAGUAUUUACCCAAAUUGGGGAGCCAAAGAAUAUUCUCGAGUAUUAGCAGCUGUGUUGUCAAUUCAACCACACCUGAAAGACUUAAUAUCUGCAGCAAAGUAUUUAGUAGCAAAGUAGUAUGGAAGUAACGGUAACAAUGACAAAUGUAACAGUAGAAGUUUUGUAGUGAUCGUAAGAGUAGCAAUGGAAAAGUAACUUAGCAAAGAUCAAUAUGUGGAAAGCUCGUAGGCAAUGGAUCAGUGAUGGAUAAUUAUGUCGGAUGGCACUCAUCAUGGAACAGUCAUAACAUAGGGUGAUACAGAACUAGCUCCAAUUCAUCAAUAUAAUGUAGGCAUGUAUUCCAUAUAUAGUCAUACAUGCUUAUGGAAAAGAACUUGCAUGACAUCUUUUGUCCUAUCCUCCCGUUGUAGCAAGGUCCUAAUGAAAACUAAGGGAUAUUAAUGCCUCCUUCAAAUAGAGAACCGGACCAAAGCAUUAGCACUUAGUGAAUACAUGAACUACUCAAACUACGGUAAUCACCAGAAAUAAUCCCAGUUAUUGACACCCUGGGGGAUGCGGAUCAUAACUCAUAAUAGGUGUCUAUAACUUGAAAGAUAGGAUCAAGAACACAUAUAUAUUCAUGAAGACAUAAUUUUUUGGAUCUGAAAUCAUGGCACUCGGGCCCUAGUGAAAAGCUUUAAGCAUAGAAAAAUCAUAGCAACAUCAAUCUCAGAACAUAAUGGAUACUAGGGAUCAAACCCUUACAAAAUGUAACGACUAAGAUGUGUCCCUUUCCUAUUUUCGGGCGAUGCCCCAAAAGGGAAAGAGGCGCAUCUAAACGUUUCGCAAGCGAGAUAAUCAUAACAUUACAUAACUAAAGAAUGACAAGUAGGGCAUCCACUUGCCAUCUGACGAUAGUAUAACAUAAGGUUUACAGCCAUACAAUUAUUUAGAGCAAAGUUUAGUCCCGCUACGGACAACAUGAAACAAGAAAAAGAACUAUGACAUCCCGCAUGCUGGCCCACGAUCACGACCAUGGCCUGAGUCCUCCGGAUAGUUCAUGUACAGUCGGUCAGACUCCUCACUGCCACGCCAGUUGGGUGCCCUCAGGAUCUCCUGCGUCGGGCGUACCUGUACCUGUUGGGGGUUUUGUAGUAAAGUGUGAGCCACGGGGACUCAGCAAUCGGAUGACCUUGGUAACGAAUCUAGUCAAGUUAUUAGGUGAGGGAGGUUUAAUGUAUAAGUUUGCAACAACCUAAGCAUAUAUGGUGGCGAACUUAUGAUGAUCAGAGUAAUUGAUGUGGUGGUCUAGGCGAGCGGUCGAAGACUAGAUGAUCACUAAGUGAUCCUGAACACCUACUUACGUCAAACAUAACCCCACCGUGUUCCCGAUCGAAGAGAGGUCUUCGAAGGAGACAGUCACGAUUACGCACACAGUUGGCAGUUUUAUUAGGGUUACUUUAAGUUGUCUUUCACCAGCUGCUUAUGCUCUGAAGCAAGAUAACCGCGGGCAUGGCUUUCCGAAAGAUUAAACCCCACAGGGGUGCUCCAACUACUCCAUCACAAACUGCCACGGCCCGCAAAGUAAUCAUCUAUCACGAAUCUAGUAAUCUCGUCGGAUUCCUUAGAGGAAAACCUCAACUUUGAGGAGACCCAAAGUUUCACCGGGAUUCCUAUAUGCAAGAUAUAUCACUAAGGAAAGACAAAUCUAGCAGGACCUCCCAUCGUGUCGAUGACCACCAUAAGAGACGCGUAUCUCAGUCUCAGGACACGACGGAUGAGCUAGACGUCGGGUUUGCUAAAGCACUAGGUGACCAGGGGGGCCCCGGACAUCGCUCAGGUGGGACCAACACUCAUGAGGAGCACUGGCUCGGGUUGUUGAUUAAAUCCUCGGGGUAGCUAUUCCCUAUGCAAAUUAUUAUUAGGUGAUUAGCAGAAUAAAAAUAAUGUUGGGUCCUGCCGGACAAGUCUUAACACUACACGAUUUAUCAAGGGGGUCCCCAUAACAACCCUGACCGUGUUAGGAGCGAUCAGUUAUGGAAUCAAACACCGGUAGCCGACACUAAGGCAGCAAUAACGGAACAAAUCACCUCGCAAAAGGCUAGACCUUCCGUCAUUUACCAAGUAUAUAGGUGCAUUACUUAAAUAACAGAUUAAACAUAGUGAUAUCAAAGUACACAUGUUAUCACAUGAGACAGCUGGCACCUGCAACUAGCAAAGCUAUCCAUUAGAAGCUGAGCUAGCCUACUUAGCCAAACAACUUUUGCUAGGAGAGGAAGGAGUUUGGGUUUCAUGGCAAUAACAUGAGGCAGUAUAUCAAGUGGUAGGCAGCGGGCAUAUAUCAAAGGAAACGUGAUUCUAUGCAUAUCAAAGCUAGAUACGGUAUCAAGGUCACGGUCAUCUUGCGUGUGAUGUCUUCAGCUUGGAACUUCUCGUGAUCUUCCUGCACGUACUCUCCAGAAUCCAUGUACUCGCUCUCUGAUCCUAAUGCCACCCAAGAUAAAAUAACAGCCAAUGAACACCAAUGCAACAAGAUGCAACAAACAAUAUGAUGCAUGAGUGAAGAAGGAAGUAUGCAUCACUAUUCUAGUCACUUUCAUAUGCAUUAGUUGAGUUAAUAGAAUUCUGGACAUAACUUCAUAUUAACUUAUCUUGACAUGCAUGAUGAUGGCAUGAACAUGUGCAACACGAGAAAAUGAAGCAGAAAACAUAUAAAGAACAUAGAGAACGGAGCUACGGAUCAACCGGAAACUACAAAACAAGAUAUGGAGUCCUACGGUUCAAAUCAACCACAAGCACACUCCAAUGGCACUCCUCUGGUGUUACCAGGUUGCCACAUGAUCAAACAAUCAAAUACAAGUGGGGUGGUGCAUGGAAACACACCACACCAUCAACAAUUCCCACACAAGCUUCAAAACAACUAAAACGUGCAAUCUGUUUUUAACAGCAUCAUAGCAGUUUGUCCACAACAUUUAAAGUACCUACAAUCACCCAAAUGAGCCAAACAAGAUAUGAGGUAAAAGCCAUUCAAAAGCUCUACAAGCCUGUGCAAGAAGUUUAUACAUAGGAGUCACACAUGAGAAGAUCUAUGGACACAAACUUGCACAAAAAUAACAGAUUCUGGAACUUAGUGAAAAUCUCAGAUUUUCACCAACUGCUUAUGCUCUGAAGCAUUUUGGCAGCCUCCCAAAUGAUAUCUACAGGAAGUGUAUAAGCAUGAAAUUUAACAGGGAGCUAGCCAAACACAAAACCUCACAAACUUUAGUUUGUUGCAUGGGCUGAUUCCCAACACAUGAGCUUUUGCAACCAAAACAACAAGGGAAGAAAAUAACAGCAGAUUCUCAGACUUGGUGAAAAUCACAGAUUUUCACAAAGUUGUCAGUUUCAGCCAACUGUCAACUUUGACAAGGCACAACAAGUGCAUACAAAUUACUAUGAAGAAAACAAAGACCCCAUGCUAUACAGGGGUUCACCCACUACUACCACAUCAAGGAUUCAUCCUCAUAGGGUCAAAGCACCACAUAAUACUAAGCUCUAAACAUGGCAUCAGGAUAGAAAAUAACAGUUUUUAUGAAUUGCUCCAAAGUGAAAUAUGAAUGCACCAAUGGAUUCUUGGGAUAAUUCUACCCCAAAUCCAUAUGUCAUACAUGGGUACUUGCAUGUAACAUCAAGGUUCAAAGCUAGGUCGAAAAUAACACCAAGAAUCACAUGAGCUACAAUUGUCUACUAGUCACAUGUAAAAGUUGUCAUAUGCAUCAUCUAAACAUGCACUUGCACUAGGGAAAGAUCAAACUAGCUAAGAAUAGCAUCACAUACAUAAUAACCACAAGUGUGACGUGUUCAUCCACACACACACUCAGGUGCUCACACAUACACAUGCAUAAGAGCACGCAUAAUCAUGAGCACAUCAACCUACUCCUACACACACACACACAACAAGAAUAGGUGCAACAUGAGAGGCUAGGCCCUCUUGCACAAGUGCAUGUGCAACUUCAUGCACACACACUCACUCACGUGCAUACACAAGCUCAUGUGCACAUACACACUCUCACACACAUACACACACUCACAUACACAUGCACUAAUAUGCUCACACCUGCACACUAGGCCUUAAAAGAAACAAAACACUCCCUGUUUUAUUAAGAGGCUAAAAGGUAAAGAGAAUGCAGCAAAAAAAAUAAAAGAAAAAAAACAUAGUUGAAAAAAAAUAAGGGGAGGCCUAGGGUUUUGAACCCAAAACCUCCUGCAAUUGUUCAAUACACGCACCACUGGGCUACCGCAUCAGAGCUUACCAAGGGGGGGGCUUAUACAGGCUAAGCCCUCUCUGCCCCUGCCCUGCCUCUAGCAAAACAAAGAAAAAGGGGUGCCUGCGGGGAUCGAACCCACGACGCGUGGCGCUAGCGCACGCUCGGUUGCCACUGUGCUGAGGUAAGUGAUCUUACCACAAAGGGAAAGCAUGCUCUUUUGAGCAGCCCCUCUGCCCUAGCCUACCACGCCGGCGCUACCGGAACAUGGGAGGCGACCGGCGACACUACGGCGACUAGACGACGGCUAAACGCUACGGGCGAGAAGAGGGAACCACGGGGGUUCCAUCCCCGCCUCGAUCUCACCAGGAGGUACACCAUGACGGCGGCGCGAAGAACAACUAACUACUGCAACUGCUGCUGCUGUCAUGCUCUGCUUCUACUGCAACCGAACAAGGAAACCACGGCGACGAGCAAUACCCUACGCCGCAGCUAGAGAGGGGAAGAGAGAGGAGGAGACACUGCUCACCGAGAGGGAGGAGAGGAGAGGAACUCGUGCGCUGUAGACGAAGCAGAGCGACGAGCCGGUCUGAAGGAGCUCGUCGGAGAGAAGAGGAACGUGCCGUUCGUCGUGGAUGUCGAGGAAGGAGCGAUCGGUGCUAGCUCUUCGCGAAAAUGGAUUCCCACCGAGGUCCUCUUGCUCCUGGCAGGGUCGGGGAGGAGGCGAGGGCGACGAUCCGCCGGCGACGACCUCAACAGGGGCCUUCCAUGGCGGAGGGGAGCUCGGGAGCGCCUCGUGACGGCGCCAGGGAGAGAGAGGAGGGAGGGGAUGAGUUAGGGCUGCGAGGGAGGACCUCAUGGCUGCUUAUAACCUCGGGAUGAGCGCUUAGAACCGCCGGAUCGAAGAGGGGAAGGAAUCAGUGGUGGUGGUGGCGUCGUACACAGUGACGACAGCGAGGAGGAAGAAGAGGGUCGCUGGGUGGGCUUGCGUGCGAGGGAAAAUAAGAAAUGGGCCAGGGGUAGGAGGAAGCCAGCCCACCUAGCGCCAAAUAGAAAAACAAAAGCGGUUUUGCAUUUUUAAAAUAUCACCUGCAAAUAAAAAUGCACACAACCGCACAUGGGUUUGAAGAAAACAAAAUAAAAUGCCUAGGGCAUAAGGGAAUUAUGCCCUGUUUAAAUAAAAUAUAAAACUGAUUUUUGGAGUAUUUAAAUUAUACUCAAAACAGAAAAUAAAUAGGCUCUUUAUUGAUAAACCCAAUAUGGUUUAAGUUUUAAAACCCCAACCACAAUACACCUCAAACACAAGGUAAAACUACAAAAUGAACAACAUUUUUAAAACAGGUUUUGAGCAAGUUAAACAUGAGCUCAAAUAAAUAGUGGAGAAGGAGUUUUGAAACCUAGUUUGAAAACAUCAUUGUUUGAAACCAAAGUUUUGCAAUCACCACAUCAACACACACACAUAACACAUUUGCACUCAACAUGGAUCUAACAACAACAACAACACAAAGGGAAAGACAUGAAUGCAAUAAAUGGCAUGAUGCAAAAGUGAUGACAUGAAAUGACCACAAGAAAUGAUAACUCCAUAGUAUAGCAAUCAUGGUUCCAAAUAGGGAAGGUUUCCAAAUAUGGCAAGGGUUAUAUCUGCAGCAUUACAAACUCUCCCACACUACAAGAAGAUCUCGACCCGAGAUCUAGGACUGAAAGAACUAUGGAAAUUCGGAACGGAGGUGAUCCUCGCGCUCCCAAGUGGCCUCUUUAUCGGAAUGAUGUGACCACUGCACCUUGAGAAACUUGAUUGACUUAUUGCGGGUCUUGCGCUCAGUCCUCUCACGAACUGAAACUGGAUGCUCACGAUAGGAUAGGUCGGGUUGAAGGUCGACAUCCUGAAGAUCAUCUGUGCACUCGGGAGUCUUGAAGCAUCUCCGGAGCCGAGAGACAUGGAACACGUCAUGCACAUUUGCGAAGUUUGAAGGGAGCUCAAGUUGAUAAGCAAGGUCGCCUAUCUUGCCAACAAUUCUAAAAGGCCCAACAAAACGAGGAGCAAGCUUUCCUUUGAUGCCAAAACGCUGAGUGCCCUUCAUAGGAGACACUUUGAGAUAGACGAAGUCAUCGAGCUCAUAAGACAUGUCACGAUGCUUGCUAUCAUAGUAGCUCUUCUGACGGGACUGCGCUGCUCUGAGAUUAUCCCGAAUGACACGACACAUCUCCUCAGCUUCUUCAAUCAAGUCAUUCCCAAGAAUCUGACGCUCGCUAGUCUCUGACCAGUUGAGCGGUGUACGACACUUCCUGCCAUAAAGAAUCUCAAACGAAGCUUUGCCUGAACUUGCGUCAUAGCUGUUGUUAUAAGAAAACUCAGCAAAAGGUAGGCAGUCUUCCCACUUCAUGCCAAAGGAAUCCUUGAGGUACUAACUGAAGGUUGAGCUUUCUGAAAGAUUCACAAAGGUCAGGCUGGAGAGGCUUUAGAAUGGGACUGUUGCAGUAAGCCUUCCUGCUCAAAGCAUCUGCCACAACAUUAGCUUUGCCUGGAGUGUACUCAACGCUCGGAUUAAAAUCUUGGAGCAUUUCCACCGAACGAGUUUGCUGAAGAUUGAGGUUAGGCUGGGUGAAGAUGUACUUGAGACUCUUGUGAUCGGAGAACACUUCAACCUUUCGUUCCAACAAGAGGUGUCUCCAAGUCAUGAGAGCAUGUACCACUGCCGCCAACUCAAGAUCAUGAGUGGGGUAAUUCUUCUCACUUGGCUUAAACUGCUUCGAGGUAUAAGCUACCACUUUCUUGUCUUGCAUCAACACUGCACCAAGAACUUGAAGAGAGGCGUCGCAGAACACUUGAUAAGGUUUGGAGUCAUCAGGAGGAACCAAGACUGGAGUAGACGUGAGCUUCUCUUUGAGUGUGUCGAAAGACAACUGACACUCUGGAGACCAGACAUACUUCACACCCUUCUGAAGAAGACUUGAGAGAGGCUUAGAAUUCUUGGAGAAAUUCUCAACGAAUCUUCUACAAUAGCUUGCAAACCCAAGAAAGUUCCGAAGCUGCUUCACAUUUUGCGGAGGCUGCCACUCAACAAUGGCCUGCACCUUCGACGGAUCAACUUUGAUGCCCUCGACAGAGAUGAUGUGCCCAAGCACUAGUAGAAAAUGGGCCUUUGGCCUGGACCAUUUAGUCCCGGCCUGCCUCUGGGCCGGGACUAAAGGCCCGGCUACGUCGCCCCAAUUCUCAAUGCCUCCCUCGAGGCUUUAGUCCCGGCCCGUAAGGAGCCUUUAGUCCCGGUUCGUGUCCAAAACCGGGACUAAAGGGCUACGCGGCGGGCAGUGGUGGUGGCAACCGUUCGUAUCCCCCUUUAGUCCCGGUUGGUGGCUCAACCCGGGACUAAAGGCCUAACACAUGGCCUGCCGUGGUUGUGGCGACGGUUGGUAUACCUCUUUAGUCCCGGUUGGUGGCUCAACCCGGGACUAAAAGCCUAACACGUGGCCUGCCGUAGUGGUGGCAACCGUUUGGUAUACCUCUUUAGUCCCGGUUGGUGGCUCAACCCGGGAUUAAAGGCCCAAACGGUUUGCAUCCCGCGUCGUUUCGGGCGAUGAAAAGCACGAACCGAAGCGUACAGUCGCCAUUUCUCUGUUCUUCUUCUCUCUNNNNNNNNNNNNNNNNNNNNNNNNNNNNNNNNNNNNNNNNNNNNNNNNNNNNNNNNNNNNNNNNNNNNNNNNNNNNNNNNNNNNNNNNNNNNNNNNNNNNGUGUAUAUAUAUAUACUAGCAAAAGGGCUCGUGCGUUGCAACGAGAGAAAAAAGAUCAUGCUUCACACCCCACCAGCUGCGUGUCAAAAGCUGAAGCACUCGUGCCACACAUAGUCGAAUAAGCACCGACGCUCCAUGGCGUCCUGGACCAGCUCUCCCCAGAUCAAGCCGCUGCCCCUCGGCGUCAUUGCAUUGCCCAGGAUCCAGAGGCAGUGCCUGCAACCAAAAACCAAGCAAACCGAUCGAGGCGACAAAUAAAUAUCAGGCCGUUCCAGGUUCAGAUUAGUUUUACAUUUCAUCCAGAUCUCGGCGUGCGUAGGUACGCACGUACCUUGCCCUCAUCAGGGCGACCGGCGGCCGGCAUCCUCUUAUAGUCUUAUGGUUCAGUAUAUCGUUCCAGAUUGAAAAUGAAAACAUGCUAGAACCUUUCUAUCAAGUUAUGAGAACCAUUGGGCCACAUGGUUGCUUUUUGAAUUACAAAAUUCAUCGAUACCACGACCUACCAGAAAAGUUGCCACUGCAUCCUUUGGGCACACAUCAUACAGGAAUUGGUACAAAUCAGAAUGAAAGCAUGAUUAUAUAUUUCAGGCAGGGAGACAGUGGGCAAACAAGCAUUUCAACUGAAUGUCAAAAGUUGGAGCUUGAGAAAGACCUGGCAGAAAUGGCCUCGAAGUCGUCUAUGCCUUUUCUUCGCCCCAAGCUGAGGUCUUCCAUCAGCCGCUCAUCCAAUCCUUUAAAUUCGCCGUUGCUGUUCAUCAACGUGUACAAACCUUGUCUGAGCAAGUAAGAGUAUACUUGAAAGAAAGAAGCAUAAUUGUCUUGUGCCGGAAUGACGACAAGCUCGUGCCAGAGCAAGACAUGUUCGUAUUGGUUUGGAAGGUCAGGUGCCCCAGUAGAAGGCUCCUGAACAAAAUGCUCACGAGGAUCAUGCUCGAGAAAUUGAGGUAUGAAACUGCCCAGAAGUCGUUGGUGUGAUGUAUGCUAUUCAAUACACGAUUUCUCUACAACAUAUAUGCAAAUGCAAGUCAAACAUAUUCUUUUGAAAAGACAUUCGUGAUGUAACCUUUGAGUUCCUAAGUUAUCUUCCACCUUUCUCUUGUAUCUGUAGUAAUCCACGCCCGUUAAGAACUAAGAAGUAUGUUUGGUGGGGUAAACAGAACUACUUUUUCACUCAAACCGGUAGCUUUAUAUAGCUCUGUUUGCUGUAUUUCUGUCUGCUAAUAUACUUAGCAGAUUUAUUGCCAAGAUUUAUAUAUUGUUGGAGUUCUCAAAUAAUCUGUUUGGUUUUCUUGUUCUUUACAUUCGUCCAUACAACGAAGUAAAUUAUCUUUUGUAGUUUAAGAAAUUGAGAAGCAUGCUGUGACUGAAAAAGUAAUCACAGCAGAACUUUGUUUAGAGUUAUGCCAUGAAGAUGAGUUAGAAUAUCUACAUCACAAAUGCAAUAAUUCAAGUUUCCUCUGGGAAAGCUUUUCUGAUUUCUCUGUAGAGCACAUUAAUCAGAGCAAUACAAACUCACCACCAGCUGGCAUAAAUGACUGAAAUAUCUGUUUUUAAUCAAACAUUCGCUUUUGAGAAUUCUUACAGAACUAUGCCAUGCAGGAACGCCGGUGAACAAGGCGGAGGACGUGCUGCUCCACCGCCGGAUCCUCGCCGAGUGCGUCGACCCCGACAACCGCCCCGUCUUCCACGCCCGAUUCCUAAGGGUAAAUUCAUCCAUCCAUUAAACUCAUGAAAUCUUCCCUGCACACUGUCGCUUACUGUAUUAUCAUGCUCCUCUGCUUCCAUGCGCAGUACCUUCAGCAGGACAAACCUUUGGCUCCAAAUCAAAAUGGUAAUUGUGGGGGAUCCCUGGCUUCCAUGCUCACGUCGAGGUCGAUGUAGUAGCUGCAUCCCCGGCGCGCGCGGACACAGACAGACAGAGAGGUGUUGGUGAGGUGAAAACGCGGGCGUGGACGGGGGGUGGGCGGAAAGGACGGACCUUGGCGGGAGGCGUUAGUAGUGGUCCUCGAGCACGCGGUCGAAGAAGGGGUCGGCGAGCGCCUCCUGGUUGCCGACGGCCCGCAUGCGGUCGUAGAUCUCCCUCCUGACGUCGGACAGCUUCACCCGCCGCCGCCGCCGCCGUGGCCGGANUUUAUGGCCGAGAAGGGAGUGAGGGGAGACGGGGUCGAGGUGGAUGGUGACGACGGCGACGUACGACAGUGGGUUUGGGAUGGGGUGGGGGUGGCGGGGGGGGCAAGGGGUGGCGCGGCGGAUCGUCGGAGGGAGGAUCCCGCGGUGGAGGACGGCGUGGAUAAAGUGAGCUCGGGUGUUUUUCUUUUUAAUGACUGAAACGUUUUUCUUCUUCACUUAAAUGUGAACGGCGGGUUGAAUAUACGAGAAAACAGAAGGACUUUUUUGCAAAACCGUCAGCGACGGACGGUCCGGUGCGACGUUUCUCCGCCAUGUCGCCGACGCCUCAGCCCCUAGCUAUUGCUGCCUUCCGAUCAGGGAGCUGGGCUGGGGCCGAGGAGGAUCUUACAUGGAUCAGGGGCCGGGGCAGCGAUCCGGGAUCCGCAAUUUAAUGGCGAUCCCGCGGAUGGACUCGACGCGCGCACGGCUCGUCAAAGAUGAGGAAGCUGCGGGUUGAAGCUCUGCCCUGUCAAUGACAUCUAUGCUGAAUCCCGAGGCGCUUCGUGCCAAGGCGAGUUUCAGGCUUUCAGCAACAAAAUCUCACCGAGUUUGGUUGUCAGGAUCGCAAUGUGCUUGUUGCUAUGUUAAGGUGAGACACUGCUCUUGCCUCAUGCUCCCUCCGUCCUAAAGUAAGUGAUUUAACUUUGUAGUACUAAAGUUAGUAUAAAACCGAGUCAUUUUUGAGUCACUUAUUUUGGGAGUAGUAUAGUACUGCUGUCACUGUGAGGCCAAUUGAGCAGUACAUUUGCAUGAUGAGGUUUCGUUCAGUUUAGAAAUUUUGGAGUUCAGAUGCUUGUCUAGCCCCUCAUUAAUUGUCUGCCCCCUUCUUGGAAGUUGGAGGCUCAGUUGCUUCCUUCAAACCUUUUCCAAUGCAAAGGUGCUUAGAUGAGGUAUUAAAUGCAUUAAAUAGCUUAGCAACUUAACUUUCCAAUGCAUAAGUUAAUUGUUGGCUUCUUUGACUGUUGGCCUGGGCUCCUUUUUAUUGUCCGCGUGCAGCUACUUGACUUGCUGCAUUGUUGGCUACUUUGCACGGAGUGACUGAAACGCCGGAUGCACUCUGGCUCUAGGGUCUAGAGCAGCAGCAAUCCUGGUGCAAGCAUCUUUGAAAAUCCAGGUAACCUAUUUGCGAUCUCUACUUCUGUAGUAUCACUGCCUUUCUUCAAGAUUGUUCUUCUCUGCUGCGCCAAAGCAUAUACUCCAAUUUCAAGAUUUUUUUUUUUGCCUUUCUUCAAGUCUGAAAUGAAUGAUUACCAGCAUAAGUAAUCAGUAGCUUUGAGCUUUCCUCUAUCCAUCGCCACUUUUUAGCUCUUGGAGCUUCUUUGCAAAUGUAAGGUGUUUUCUCUGGCCCUGUGUCCUACUUACCACUUUCAAGACCUUUAUUAGUUGUUGUCAAAAAAAAAAAUCCGAGUUGUUGAAUAUCAGCAUAUAAAAGGUAUCUUUACUUUCUUUGAUUUUUUCGAUCGUUUAAUGGGUAGUGUUUCUACUUUCGCACCUGAGCCUCCUUGCCGCAGAAACAUGAUGUAGAGUGGCAACUGGCAGCUCUUCUGUACUAUUUGCAGUUUUCAGUAGAAAUAUUUUGUGCAUAAUUUUAGUUUUGAAGGUAGGAUGCACAAGAAUGCGUGCAGAGUAACAUACCACAAGAACAAACCUUACUCUCUAUAAUUACCCUUGUGCUUGUGGUUAGCUGACAUAGCUGUAAAUUUCUGUUCACAGGGCAUCCCAGAUGGAGAGACCUUGUGACUGUUGCAAGAGAUAUGCGGACCAUUUGGAUGAAAAGAUGAAGUGUUUCCGCAGGCACAUGGGUGCUGAUUUUAGACAUGGCAUGGUAAGCCUGUUAUGCUUUCAGUGUCUCAAGUGUUCCCAGAUAUCUUCUGUUCACAGUUUAACAUGCAGGGUUAGUCAGGUUUGUGAUGGAUAGUUGCCUACUAAUUGGAUAAACUUGAUGGCAGUCCAGUUGGUGUUAAACAAACAGCAAGAAGUGGAUAGAGAAGCUAAUCGUACACUGUGCCAUUGUGAAUAGAUUCUGUAGCUAAACUCAUGGAUUCCGGUCCAGCAUGCAGUUAUUCAUGUAAGCCUGAAACAUUGUAGAAAAAGAACUUCAAAGCUCAAGUUGACAAUUAAAACUGGAGCGGUGCUUUCUAACUCCGAAGCUAAUCAGGCGCUGUAACAUUGUGGAUUUUUUGUCAAUAUAAAACAUAAGUCAUGUAAUCAAGCUCCAUUUAUCUUUUGUUCACAGUUAACAUGCAGGGUUAGUUAGGUUUGUGCUGAUAAGUUGCCUACUAGUAUUUUUCCUUUUUUGACAAUUUCCUACUAGUUGGUUGAACUAAUGGCAGUUCUGGUGUUACACAAAUAGAAAGAAGUGAAUAGAUUCUGAACACAUUGCUAGUGAGUAAAAUCUGUAGUUAAACUAAUGGGUUCCAGUCCAGCAGUUAUUAUUCCUGUAAGGCUGAAACAUUGUAAAAGGACUUCAAAGCUCAAGUGGCGGUCAACAUUGUGUGUUUCCUAAUUUCAAAGUUCAGUGUGCAUUGUGUCAUCGUGAAAUUUUGAUUAAUAUUAAUCAUGUAACAUAUUUCCUGACUAGUCUAUCAAAACAUAGUUCUCACACUGCAUCUGUAUCAUAUUUUUCGCUGCGGUCAUCAUUGUUAGAAACUACAAAAUUAUUGUGUUUAUAAUUCAUACCAACAUGUCUCCAUUUUGUUUCAGAUCAUACCAAAGAAGUUCAUAGAUAAUUUCGGAGGAAAAAUCUCAAGAACCAUCGAACUAGAAUCUUAUAAUGGUAAUAUGUAUGUCUUUGAAGUUUCCAAGCAUAUGGGUAAUAUAGCCCUCCGGCAUGGAUGGCAGGCAUUUAUAGAUGAACAUCACAUACAAGAGAAUGAUUCAUUGCUGUUUCGUCACAUUGAGAAAUCCCGUUUUGAGGUUCUGGUCCUUGAUUCUGAUGAUUGCGAAAAGGUGUUCUUCUGCCCUGGCAUCAACAUUGCUAGUAAUGCUGAAGAAAGAGGUGUGCAUUCUGUUGAUAUUUCAAAUGGCUCCCGUGGUAAUGCCACAAGAUCACCAGGAAGCAAAAGGUUUGCUACCUGCGGAAGGCGUAACUCAAGCCAUCCUAGAAAAGUGGCGAAGACAGUCAUAAAUUACUCCUCACCUGAGAAUUCAGGUUGCCUUUUGAUUGUCUUCUGCACUGACGUUCUCUCAGUUAUCUGUUCACGAUACAUUUUAUAUUACAACUAUAUUGCCAUGGUUUUCACCGUUGAGAUUAUGUACAGGAGAGGACACUGAGAACGAAAAUACAGACACUAUAUACUCAUCAUCUGAGGAUUCAGGUUACAUUCUGAUCCUUUUCUGCAUUAACAUUACUUCCUGAAUUAUGUGUUCACAAUAGAAUUUAUAUUAUAUCGUAUAUUGUCACCAUUUUCACCAUCGAGAUUAUGUACAGGAGAAGACACUGAGCCUGCAAAUACAGACAUAGAAUACUCCUCAUCUAGGGAUUCAGGUUACAUUUUGAUUCUGUUCUGCAUUAGUAUUACUUUCUGAAUUAUGUGUUCAAAAAACUAUCUCUAUUAGAUUUUAUUGUUGUUGGGGGGCUGUUGACAUCUGUACAGAAGAAGGCACUGAAGACAUUCCUUUGGAAUACAAAUCAUCUUUUGAGCUAGAUGAUGGCCACCCACCUUCAGGGCAUGAUUAUGUCUUAGCUCGGGGAAGUACUCUAUCCAGUGUACAGGAUGAGAAAGUAACUACACUUAUCCAGGAUGUUGGAGCUGAAAUUCCUGCGUUCGUGGCUGUCAUGAAGCCGAGCUAUGUCAAGUCACAAACUUCUGCUCUUGUACGUUUUACUGUUCUUUUUUGCCAAAGCUGUCGUUCAUAAUGUUUAAAUGCUUAUAUUUUAGAUUCCUGUAUGAGCAUUUUAAUCCAUUGCAUAUUUGGUAUAAUUGUGCUUUUAUUUUGAUUGCGUGAAGAAAAAAGAAAGUGUGAAUCACCCUUAUAAUUAUUUUGAGUUCAGUAAAAUGAAGACAGUUAUAUUUUCAGAUACUAAAAUAUACGUUGUAGUACAUUGUAGCAUCUAGCCGGGGAACAUUGUGCAUCUUUAAGUUAGAUAUGCACGAAACGAUGUUGUUGAAGUUCUAUAAGAUAGCUGUUUAAAUUAUCAUGUAGUCCCUCCAGUCCAUAUCAAUUGUCCCUGAUUUAGUACAAAGUUGUACUAAGUCGGUGACAAUUAAUAUGGAUCGGAGGGAGUACAAGUAAGCAAUGUGCUCAGAUUGUGUUGUAAAGCUGUCAAUUUUUUAGAACUAGCAUCAACAACAACCAAGCCUUUCAGUCCCAAACAAGUUGGGGUAGGCUAGAUUUUUUAGAACUAGCAUCACCUUUCUUUUUUCUGAUAGCAUAUAUGCUCUUGGAUAUGCAGUCAACUUACUUGACAGAUCAUGUGCUUCAAUGAAAAAAAAUCUGUGCAAAUAAAACACUUUACAUCACGCAGGGUGGAGUUACUCUCUGUAUGAACUGAUCCCAGCCUAGUCAUAUUUGUUGAUCUGUCACUGAUACUGUGCCAUCUGGAAUUAGGUCAUUCCCAAAGGUUAUGCAGAUGAACACUUCCCACCUAAAAGUCAAACCGUGGUACUGGAGUGCCCAGGCAAGAGCGAGAAGUGGCAUCCUAGAUUUCACAUCAGGAAAGAUAAACACGGGGCCAUCCUUUGUGGGUCUGGUUGGUUAGACUUUGUUCGCAAGAGUCGAGUACAGGUGGGAGAUAUCUGCGUCUUUGAAAGAAUGAAGAAGGGCACCGGGAGAAAAUUCUCACUUAGAGUACAUGUACUUCACAAAUCAAUGUUGCAUUCCGGUGGAAGCGGAACUGGUCCUAAAAGAGUUAGCUUAACUCAUGGCAAAACAAUGGUUAAUUCAGGUACCCCUAAAAGAGUACGCACGACUAAUGGUAGAACCAGGGCAAAGGCAACUUCGACGACCUGUGUUAGGAAGGAACCAGGUGAUUGUACAUCAAGAUGCCCUUAUUCCAUAGGCGGAAACAAAUUGGUGCACUUCCAGUUCUCUCUUUUCUGAUUUGUUUUAGAAAUGUUUCCAGGAGGAGAUGCGCCUUAUUCGGUUCACAGCCAUGGUCAUGAAGCACGUCAGGGGCCUGUUGACUCUGAUAAAUCUAGAAGGCCUCGGAAACGUCCCUACAUAAUAUCAUCCACCGCAUGUCUGACCAGGGAGCAGAAGAUGAAUGUCGACAAGAGAGUUCGCGCCCUUCAGUCUAAAGUUCCCAUUUACGUGUCCAUAAUGAACAAGAGCAGUGUUGGCAACAACAGCAUGUACUCGGUAGUAAGUAGACAUCUUCUCUGAACACAUUUCAGCUGUCAAUCGGAUGUAGUAGUAGUUAUUCACUGUAUGUGUUCUUGAGCCUGGUAAGAUUUCAGCUAACCUAUACAACAUUUUGUGUCUGGGAACAGAACAUUUGCAGGGAGUAUGCUGAUGAGUAUCUCCCCGCUGGAGAGCAGACUGUGACACUCGUAACAGCACAGAGGAGCAAGUCAUGGGAAGUCGAGGUGCACCCGAGGGAUGGCGGCGCAAAGGUGCUCAGGGGAGAUUGGCACAAGUUUGCCUGCCACAAUCAUCUGCAAGUCAAAGAUAUCUGCCUGUUCCAGCUGAUGACAGACCAGAGGAAGCUUACGAUGAUGGUCGACAUCAUUCAUCACAAUGAGAAGCGUUAGUUUGAACUUUCCAGCACAUGAGAGUGAACCUCUGGUGGCUAUUCGGCUGCUAUUUUGUGUGUGUUUUUGGUGGUUCUGUAAUCUGCAAACCGUGUGGUUGUGUGGCUACUUUCAAAAGUACUGGAGGUCAAUUGGAAUUUCCUAUAAGAAGACAAGUUCUUUACUAGCUGGGUAAUUCAGGUAGUUAUUUGAUGAUAGGUUGGGUUAUUUACUGAAUCGAUGAAAUAUCAUUGUCUACUAGCUGUGAAUGCUAGUUAUUGCAACUUCCUGUUAGAAGCCAAGCUUCAUUGUUUGUUUCCCUUGUGUUUCUAUAUCACCAUAAGGAAGGUAUGAAGGAUGAAGUUAACCAGUUGGAAUACAUCUAACAGAAAGAACUGGAGGUGCAAGGUUAUAACCACAUUCAGUCAUUAUAUAAUCACUUGGAAGGCAAUCAGAGGAGGAACUCUUACUACAAAACUUGGAUUAUUCGAGUAGAUGACAACCGGGAACAUUUAGGACAGAACUAUAGAUGCACUUAUCCUUUUGCAUGAGGUGAUGAACUUCGUAACUAUUGGUGGGCAAUUGUACCAUCAACCUUAUGCUGCAUCAAAGAACAUAUAAAUAAAUGAAAUAAAAUAACUAAAAUCAGCUCAAAUCCUGUACGGUGGCAGAAUGAAAAAAAAUGGAGAGAAAUCAGCGAUCAUAGAAAUAUAAAAUAUGAAGCUCAUAAUUCUGAACUCAUAUGAAUAUAACAGUGCAAAUCAUGACUUCAAGAUAUGUUCAAGAAGGAAAAUGUUGGACAACUUAUGAAGGAUAUUCUGAAUUCUGAAACCUCUCAAAGAAUCUGGGGAGGUUUAUUCCAAUUUUGUUAGUGAAAAUUAGGUAUCAUACGUCAAGAAUGGUAUGCCAAGAUCAAGCCAUUCCUCUGCUUUUUCAAUCUGAAUUAGAACUUCUGCAUACACCUAUAUGUACUGCAAUUAUUAGUUCAUAAAUUUGACCGUGCAUAAACUUUAAAGUACAAAAAAAAACUUUAACUACGACUGCUCCAACAGAAAAAUGAAACAUCUGCUUAGUCAAGAUGGAUGGACUAAACAAUUACAUUUGCUUACCAGGAACUAAAAAGACACCCUGCAGAUCACUUACACAUGAGAAAAUAGAGAAGUGUCCUUGUCAACACACAGCAUCAUGUAAAACACAUGGCUACAUACAACCUAGUGCUUGGAAAAGUUUCAACUAAAUCAUACAAACUAAAUAAACAUCAAAUAAUCACAGUUCACAAUAGAGUAGAUCGACCUUAAUGGCACCUCACGCAUCAAUCAGUUGAAAAUUCAUCACAAUAUUAAAUGAGCAUUAUUCAGUCCAUAAAUCCCACCAAACCUGUCACUAUAGAAAUCUUAAUCGCAACCAUCAGGAAAUUGCAGGUUUCAAACAACUAUAAUGCUUAGAGAAUUCAUAUAAUCUGCAAAUACAAAAAAUAAACAUUAUAUAACCAUGGCCUACCAGUUGACAUUAUUAUUUUAAAUCUAAUAAGGCAACGGGUUUAUCUAAAAAUAUUGAGAUAAUCAUAUAAGUCAGAAUAAAGUGAAGAUAACAGAGACGGUGGAGGCAAUGCCAGUGCUGCAGAGGUCACAAAACAGUAGCCCGAUGUGAGUGCACAUUGCAACUCAGCUUAAGUAAAUAAAUUUCUUUAUCAAACAAACCAAUUACAUCACAAUUUAUCGACUUGAAGACAUGAACCAGACUCUGUAACAGCCUAACAGGGCCCAUCAAUUGGCAUAAACACAUCGAAAGACAACCAGAGAAGGAACUCUGGGUACUAGAUGACAUCUAGGUAGAAGAACUCCUUGCCAUCCCCACCAAUCAACGCCUCCUUCCAGCUUAUCCUGCUAGGUGUUCUUGACUGUAAUCCGAUUGCUUCUGGUUGCCUCCUUGACUCUCAGCAACGUGAAGGCCAUCAGUGAGUUUAAUUCGGUUGUACGUGCUCCCACAUUGAUAGAAAAACAAAAGAAAGCAAGUUACUCAUGUGGCCUGAAAUAAACUCUGCAAUAAACACAAAGAGAGGGGCAAAAUCGAACCUUCUUCAAGCGAUUUGGGCUAGCAGGACUGGAAGACCAGGGGGAUUUGAUUGAUACGGCUAGAUGACUGUCUAGUACACCAGCUCCUCGACAGAUGGCUCCUUUCCACUCGCUUGGCGCUGCAGGAUUGCUCCCGAGAGGCCGAGACAACUUUCGGAGCUGUCUCCUGGUCACCGCUCUUGAAUAUAACAACUUCCGGUGCUCAUAAUUCCGAGGUCAUAUGAAUAUAACAGCUCAAAUCAUGACUUAAGACAUGUUCAAGAAUGAAAAUGUUGGACAAAGGAUAUUCCGAACUCAUAAACCUUUCUAAGAAUUUGGGGAGAUUUAUUCCAACUUUGCAAGUGAAAAUUAGGUAUCAUAAAUCAUAAGAUCAAGCCGUUCCACUGUUUUUUUUUCAAUCUCAAUUUAUGACUUUUGCAUACACCUAUAUGUACUACCAUAAUUAAUUCAUAAAUUUGACCGUGCAUAAGCUUUAAACUGCCAAAAAAGACUUUAACUACUACAACUCCAACAGAAAAAUGAAACAUUUGUUUAGUCAAGAUGAAUAGAGUAAGACAGUUAUAUUUACUUAGCAGGAACUAAUAGGACACCCUGCAGAACAAAUACAAAUGAGAAAAUAAUCACAGUUCACAAUAGAGUAGAUCGACCUUAAUGGCACCUAACGCAUCACUCAGUUGAAAAUUAAUCACAAUAUUAAAUGAGCAUUACCUAGUCCAUAAAUCCCACCAAGCUUGUCACUAGAGGAAUUUUAAUCGCAACAAUCAGAAAAUUGCAGAUCUCAAACAACUAAUGCUUAGAAAAUUCAAAAUCUGCAAAUACAAAAAGUAAACAUUAGAUAACCAUGACCUACCAUUUGACAUUAUUAUUAUAAAUCUAAUAAGGCAAUGGGUUUAACAAAAAGAUUGAGAUAAUCAUUUAGGCCAGAAUAAAGUGAGAUAAGAUAACAUAGACGGUGAAGGCAAUGCCAGUGCUGCAGAUGUCACAAAAACAGUAGCCUGAUGUGAGAGCACAUCACAACUCAGCUUAAGUAGAUCAAUUUAUUUAUCAAAGAAGACGAUUACAACUUAACUUUAUCUGACUUGAACACAUGAACAGGACUCUGUAACACAGGGAUCAUCUAUUGACAUACACACAUCGAAAGACAACCAUAGGAGGAACUGUUACUACAAAGCUUGGGAAGAUUCGACUAGAUGAAAACUGGGUAGAAGAACGGAACUGUUACUACAAAGCUUGGGAAGAUUCGACUAGAUGAUGACAACUAGGUAGAAGAACUCCUCGCCAUCGCCACCAAUCCACGCCUCCUCUUCACUGCCUUUGCCUUCAAGGUUCAAGCACAUCCUGCUAGGUGUUCUUCACUUGUAAUCCGAUUACUUCCGGUUGCCUCCUCAACUCUCAGCAACGUGAAGGCGGGGGGGGGUUGUAGGUGCUCCCACAUUGACAGAAAAACAAGAGAAAGCAAGUUACUCAUGUGGCCUGAAAUAAACUCUGCAAUAAACACAAAGAGAGGGGGGAAAUCGAACCUUCUUCAAGCUAUUUGGGCCAGCAGGACCGGAACACCAGGGGGAUUUGAUUGAUACGGCUAGAUGACUGUCCAGUAGACCAGCUCCUCGACAGUAGGCUUCUUUUCGCUCCCUUGGCGCUCGAGGAUUUCUUCUGCGACAACUUCCGGACCUUUCUCCUGGUCACGACUGUUCUGCGCCUCAGUCACGACGAGGCAGCCGCGGUGGCCGGAAGGGGGAGCAGCUGGGCCUCGCCGACGGCGCAGGGCGAGGCUCCGGUCCAGGAUCGCCGACGACCAACCUGCAGCCUCGGAGUCGUCGGCGAGAAGGAGAUCCCCGCAGCGGCCUCUCUUCUUCUCGGCGGGGACGCGCAUCUGCGCCGGCUGGACGGGAUCCACGAACGUGAAAGAGCCGAGCAUGGCGUUCGGUCCCUGCGGUGGGAUCUCGACGGACGACAUGGCGGCGGCGGCGGCGGCUGUGGAGAUCGAAACCCUAGAUCUGGCUUGGAGCAACGAAAGCGCGGGAGGAAGGAAAGAAUUGAGCGGAAGCAGAGAUGAGAAAUUAUCGAUCUGGACGAGGUUGAAUACGGCUUUAUACUAGUAUCUGAAACAAG